AAGGAGAUGUUUUACACUAUGUUGCGGAAUGAGUUUUUCAUACUCGGUGUUUAUGGUAUGGGUGGAGUGGGCAAGACGGCCAUUUUGAGGCAUGUCUAUAUCAGUCUCCUUGAUUUUCUUCCGUCAUAUGUAUUCUGGAUUGCUGUACCUCAGGAUUUUAGUGUUUAUGCGCUACAAGAAGAGAUUGCCAAUGCGGUUGGACUAGACAAUCUUUCAAAUGAGAAGGACGCGAAGAGAAGGGCGGGCCUAUUGUAUGGACAUCUGAAUGCAAAGAAGGCAUGCAUCCUAAUUUUAGAUGGCCUUUGGAAGCCCUUUGAAGUUAAGGAUGUGGGUAUUCCAGUUGAAACGGGCAAACUAAAGUUGAUAGUGACAACUCGAUCACCAGAUGUGUGUCGUAUGAUGCUCUGUCAAAAGCAAAUUAAGAUAGAGCUUCUCGAUAUGGAAGAUUCUUGGAGGUUAUUUUUAAAGAAGCUUUGCUUUGCGGGAGAACUCCCUCGGGAAGUUGAACAAAUUGCAAGGUCUCUUCUUGAUAGGUGUUGUGGUCUGCCACUUGGGAUCAUUGAGAUUGCAACUCGCAUGAGAGGGGUAAAGAAAGAGCGUGAGUGGAGAGACAUGUUGGGAAAUUUAGAAGAGUCCAGGAUGGAGCUUGACGUGUUCAAGCGUCUGCAGCUCAGUUACUUGAACUUGGGUGAUGAACAAGUGCAACAGUGUUUCCUGCAUUCAAUGCUUUGUUCUGGAAAUCUCCUUUCAGAAGCUGACAGAGAGUAUUUGAUAGAGUCUUUUAUAGAAGAAGGUUUGUUAGGUGGAAGUGCCACCAGGCAAGGACUGUACGAUCAGGGUAACGAUAUAUUGGAUAAAAUAGAAGGGGCCGGCCUGUUGGAUCCUGAAAAAGGGCAUCGGUAUCUACACCCGUUGACAAGGGACAUGGCAUUGCAUGUAGUGCGGAGCACAACACACAUGGUUAAGGCCUAUAUGGGGUUGAAAGAAAUACCGGAGGAAGUAUUCUGGACUGAUCGUCUAGAGAAAGUCUUUUUACAAGGCAACAAAAUAGAAGAAAUGCCAUACAACGUAUCACCAAAUUGCCCUAAACUGACGCGGCUGUCUUUGUAUAACAAUUCGACCUUGGGAGACAUCCAUGAAUCUUUCUUCAGACAUCUAAAGGGGCUGACGGUUCUAGAUCUGGGCCGCACUGGAAUCACGAAAUUACCGGACUCCAUCUCCCAGUUGGAGAGCUUGGAAGCACUGUUACUGCAAAGUUGUUUCGCAUUACGCUUUAUUCCUUAUGUUGGAAAGUUGGGAUCCCUAAGAAAGUUGGACCUCAAAGGGUGCGAAAGUCUUGAAGAAGUGCCAGAGGGUAUGGAGAUGUUGGCAAACCUGAGGUACCUCGCCCUAGAUGGCACAGAGAUAGAGACAUUACCGGAGGGAGUGUUGGGGAAGCUGGUGAACUUGCAAUAUCUCGCGAUUAAAAAGCUAAGGGCAGGAGAAGAGGUAAAAUUACCGAAGGUGGAGGAACUUCAUUGUUCUGUUUCCAAUGUGGAAACGUUCAAUGCAUGCGUGGGGUCUCUCGAGCGAAAUAGUUGCCAACGGUACAGGCUCAUGAUGGGCGCACCAGAAAAUUUCAGCCUUUGGUGUGGGAGGAAGAGUGAGAGGUCUUUACUAAUUGAUAGUUGCGACCAUAUCGCUGCGAGUAUAGAUGGAACAAGUGGUGAUCGCUACGCUCUGCUCCCAGAAAGUGUGCAAUCAUUGGAAUUGUCCAGGUGUCAUGAAAUGAAGAGAGUGAUGGAAUGGGAGUGGCUGACCACUCUCCUUCCAAAUCUGAAGGAGAUUAUAACGAAGAGUUGUGAGAACUUAGAGGAGAUAAUACGUGGCCCAUUGCCGAGCGGAGCCACUUGUCGCCUUACAUAUCUUGAAGUAAAUUGUUGCAACAACAUGAAGAGGGCGCUGCUGACGCAAGACAUGGUGCUCCACCUCCCUUUCCUCCAAGAGAUAUUAGUCAAAGACUGCAAGGGCAUAGAGGUGAUAAUGGGCACUGUUGCCAAAAUGACGCACUUUUCCUUCCCGAAGUUAAUGAACCUUGGUCUAUGUAAUCUUCCAGAGCUGAAGAGCAUAUGCGAUGGGACCACGAGAUGCAAUUCCCUCCAGUUGAUAUCUAUUGACAAUUGUCCAAAACUGAAGGGGAUUCCUCUGCAGCUGCCUGUGCUUGACAAUGGUCUCCCUUCUCCUCCCCCUUCUCUUCAAGAGAUUCGGAUAAAUCGGCAGACGUGGGAGUUGCUGGAGUGGGAUCAUCCCCUUGCCCGUUCUACACUUGAACACUUCAUCGAGUUUCUUGGUAAGUCGCGCACAAAUUUUACUUCUUUUAUCCUUUCCAUCUCCCUUGGUCCCUUCUAAGGAUUGGUUCUCCCGCAGUAUGGGUUGCUUAUUUUAUUCCUAACUUUUAUAGUGAGUGUUAUGCCUCAUAACUGCUCAGAAACUAGCAAUUAGGCCUGUGCUACACACUGAUAAGUGAAUUCCAUUACAGCUUGAAAGUGCAGCAUAGUAGUCAUGUUAUUAUUAAACCUUAGUUGUUUCAACGAUGUUCAAGAAUUUAAAAAAAAAAAAAAAAAUCUCCCUUAACUUUGAAUAAAUGACAAUGCUUCUAGUCCUCGCUCUCUCUCUCUUUAUUAUUUUUUUUUGGGGGGUUGUUGGGGGGGGGGGGGGGGGGGGGAAUUUAAAAGAUUUCUCACACCGGUUUUCUAAACACAGGCCAUUCUGAGUAUACAAAAUUUUGCAUAUGCUGAUAUGCAAAUCCCUCUGUUAUAAGUGAGCAGUUUUUGUGGUCACAAAAUGAUCACGACACAGAGAUAAGAAUUGAUUAGUGGCUGCAGAAUUCUCGUACAAUAAAAUUGAAAUUCAUCGUGACAUCCUCGUCGGAAGGAUGCUAAAGCCUAGUAAAAGUAGAAUUUGAUUGGGAAUUUUCUACUUUAUUGGUUGGGAUAGUUUCAGAGAGCAUGUUAAAUGCUUUUUACGUUUCCUUUUUGUUGUCUUUUCUAUUUUACCUCAUUCGGUACUUCUAUUUGCACUUUCAAGUCUCUUUUUACUUCUUAAAUUGAUCACUAUUCUUCGGGAAUACUUUUUAGGGACUUUGUAUUUCCGAUUGCAUAUUUGAACUUAUUGAAUUUCUUUAUGUUUAAUUUGAUUGGGUUAGGUUGGCCGGAGGAGUCUCUUAUUUCUUUAGAUUGUUUACAUUCUCUCUUUAAUUUGAUCAAAGAAGUCUCUGAUCCCUUAAAAUUAUUCUUGGAGGAGAGAAAUAAAUGAGGGGCUAGCUAUAUCUAGAACCUUGUGAAAUCUAUGAGGGCUGGUCUUUCGGAAGCACAAAUAUUGGACAGAAAUAAGAUGGGCGUAGGUGUCAACAAAUGAAUUGGCCAGAGUUCAAGUUUUUCUAAGCUCUCUCAAAAUGCACCGCAAUCUGUAUAUAGAUUUCUCGUGAAUAGUCAUGUGGUACACAAUGAUAUUGGGUAUGAGUACGAGAAAGGUCCUUGGGCAUCAGUUGCUCGCCAACUACAGAAAAACGCCUCUACCACUCCCUUUCUCAACUGAUUUUGGGUUCUUCGGACCCACUUUGCGAGCGACUAACAAAAGAAUAUUUCUGCCCCCAGACUGAUGAAGCCGUGGAGGAUCCCGUUGAGUAUGAAUCGUCUUCUGAUGGCAGUGGACUCAACGCCAUUGCUACAUCAUCCUGCUCGAUUGAUGUUUAAAGUACCUCUGAACCUUACGAUGACAUAUGCUUAAUUUAUGCCUUAUUUUAUAAUCUAUGUUAACUACGUCUUGUUUCUGGAUUCUUCAGUUUGUAUUAUCCCUUAAUUCUACCUCGUGAAACAUUUAUCUUUCCAUCCCCCCCCCCUCCCCCCCGGGCCCCUUCUUCCUCCUCCGACGACGAAUCUUAUAUAGAAUUGUUCUGGAUAUGAAUUUGAUGGUCUACUACUUAAGUACAAUCUACUGUGGGAGGUGUUCUUGGUUUGGAGCAGACUAGUGGCUAUUUCAUUCGACACGCUUUAAUGGCAUCCGCAAUGUUGACCGUCUUAGAAAUCAUCUGAGCAUCCAACUUGUGACUAAUGCUUUCGAGAAGGUUUUCAUGCAGAAACCCAUUCUUGUCCACUGGUUUUAGCAGGGAAAUACUAGCACUUAAAUUCAGAACACAUAGGAAGACACCUGACAAAAUCAAAUAAACACGGACGUCUUGGCACGAUGAGGUUUGUACCUCUCUGGCUGAGGAAAGUAUAAUGGGCCCUUGUGAGUUUAUGGACAGAUGGUAUCUACGGCGAAUGUUUAGUCAAAAGACUUGACGUUUCGAGCGUCCCACUAGACCUGGCUUCAUUCAGUUGAGUCUUGAAUAUUUAGUGCAUGAUAGUGUUGACCAUCGGUGCGAUCUCCCCAUGUGCGUAUUUCCAGCCUGCGCAAAGAAGGCAGAAGCAGACGGAAUGAUGACGGAAUGACCAUUGGUGCGAUCUCCCCACGGAAUGAUGAAGAUCAGAAAUUCUGAUUUUUGUGUUAUUGUUGAUGUGGUGAACACCAUGGUAACCGGGGAUUAGCUUGUGGACUAAGAGCGUAGGGCCUGGUAAAUUGAUUUUGUGUCCGAGACAUAAUUUGUCUGCGCGAGUUUCAUGCUUGAGACAAAAAGGGAAUGAGCUGCUAAAUCGACCAACGGAUCAUCCGGAGGAUGGGCUGGUACUUCAUUGAAAUAGUGAAAUUGUCUCGGGAAUUGCAUGAUUUCCCUAUAUCCACGAUGAGUCUAUACUUAAAAAGUCAUUCACAAGGACCUGAAAACAGGCAGUGUACUUUCUGGGUGCUAUUAUGAAUCUUAAAUUUACAGACUGGGGAUUGGCAACGGGACGAAGCAGAAAGGACAAGUACAAAUAAUGAUACUUAGAAAGUCUUGUUUCUUAGAAGAUCACUGAUAAACUUUAGGACAGUUUUGAGACAUGACUGUUCGAUAGGGGCUUUUGCUGCCAACAUAUGCCUUGGGUGAUUUAGAGUGAAAUCUGAUGAUUGUGGAUUUGGAUUGCUUUUGUUAGAGAUAGUAGUAAAAAGAAGUAGGAAAUUUAAUUAAAGUCAUCACCGUAACCAUUUUGGACAUUCAAGGAGCAAAUAUAAAAGUCAUGAUUGUUCUUUCUUCUGGUUUGUUAGUUUCUUUGAUUUUGUUAACCCCUGGGGAUUUAUUUUCAAGCUAUAGCUUCUGGUGCUGAUAUUGAGCUGAAUGGGACGGGAUUAAAUGCGAAUAUAGAAGAAAGAACGGUCGACAGAAAUGUGGAAACUUGGAAUCUGGAAGGGAAAUAACCUUGUUUGUAAUGAAAAAACAGACUAAGCGGUCUUCAUUCAGACAUAGCCUUUAUAUGAAGACAAGGAAUGACAUUGUUCUUUCUUUCUUGGAAAUCAUAGUAAUAAUGAUUCCAAAAUUUGCAUUAUCAAAAGACAAACUUUACGAGCACACAUGAAGUCAGACAAAUGAGCAAUCUAUACAUUCGCAGCGUUCAAUAUCGUUUGCAACAAAUCCGAUUGUACGAAAGCGCAUCAUGUCACGGACCAAGGACGUCACGUCAUCAAUCCAAAGGGGCUCAUCAAGACCAUUAGUUUGUAAGGGGAUUUAUUCUUUGCCCUCGGAUUAGUUCGACGGGGAUUGAUGAUCUCAACCAUUAGAUGAGAUCAAUCUCCACCGUUUGACUAAUGUGACGAGGGUCAACAUCCUUCACAAUCAGAUUAAGCACAUUUCUACCAUUGAAUCGAUUAGACGAGAAUUGAUAUCCCUAUCGUUAGAUAAUGUAGAAGACCAACGGUUUGUGAUUAGAGGACUUUUGUAUAAAUAGGGGAGCCCUCUCUCCUUUUGUGUCAUCAACUUCAUUUGAGUAUUACAAGUAUCUCUAGAGCUUCUCUCUCUACUUUCUCUCUCUAGAAAUUCCCUUCAUUGAGUGCGAGAGUGUGAGUGAGAGCAAGGCUUACUUAGACUUGACUAGGCGAUUCAAAACUCUAAGUGCCUUCGCGAUCGAAAGAAUCGUCUUGUGACAAUCGCGCAUUGCAUUCUGAGAAAAUAUAGAAUGGAGUGAUAGUAGGACUUGAUCAAUGACCUGGGAACCAUCUAGGUCAAACUUAAGUUGUAUAUUUUGAUUGCUAAAUCAGAAGAAGGUUGAUGUUAGUCGUAGAAAAAAAAAUAUGCAGAAAUUCUUGCUCUGACUUUAGUCUCUAGACUAGAAGAGAUUCUAAAAUAGUGACGCAUAGCUCGUCUUAAUGUACACGCCACUAUUAAUGGUAAUCUUCUUGAUCUUGUAGGAACCUGAAGAUAGACUUCAUCUGAACCUUUUGCCUUCCCUGAUUUGAAAUAAAAAUGGAUUUAAUUAUGAGGAGCACAAAAGAUCGGUUGAAGUCUUCAAUCAAAUGCAAAAAAUGCCAUUAGCGACGUUUCGCCUUUUCAGCAACUGCUGUGUCGUUAUUGUGAUAAAAAUGACGUGAUAUUGCUUGAUGGUAAUAAUUCAUUUUUACUUUUCCUUUUUGGAUUACUAUUAUGGGAAAUGGAUGUGGAACGUUAACAGACAGAAGCUCCUCCUCAUCCACUGCUAUCUCCCUUCUUCUUUGAUAUUUUCCUACACUUUCUCACUCUCUUUCCCUUUUCCUCCCUUCCCUUUCAAGUUCUUCAUCCAUUGUCGACACGUGACUCCAUAGCUGGGUUCUGCACGGCCUGGCAGGACGUCAAGUGUACCAUGGAUCUCUUUGUGUAUGGUUCCCUAUCGUUCCAUUUCUCUUCUGCACAAGAGAUUUAGACCCUGCUUUUGCAUGUGCAUGGCCGAGCGGGCGUGGUGAGGUAGAUAAGGGAAGAAAAAGAAGUACCGUACAGUCAUCCGAGUGCUGACCGAGCCAACUUGAAAAUAUAGGCUUGCAGGCUUUUGAAUGGGCUCUGGCCUGAGCCAUGAUAGCUUCUGUGAAGCUAGUUGCAAAUUGUUUCGCGUAUACAUGUCAAUAUACGUGAAACAAAUAGGUGCUACUUGAAUCGUUCACUUUUUCAUAUUUUACCUGGAUUUCUGAUCUUUUUAACUACAAAGAAUCACAAAAUAGCGCACACUAAUUUCCAUCUAUUUUUAUCCUUUUUUUCUCCAUGGUUCUAAGAAACCUAUUGUGAGUUGCCACAUUUUUCUUAGGCAAGUGAGUGGACAAACUUAGAUUGAAACAACUAGUCUUCCCCUCCAUUUCAUUAAUUAAUAUCUGUCUUGAAGUCACCAAAAUACAAAUCAUCCUCCUUACAUUUUAUUUAAAUGUCACUUUGAAUCCUUUAUUUCUAAAUUAUCAAUAUUUUGCACCUCGACUUAAAGCUAGAGGAGAAAAACUCCUGCUUUGUCCUUGGUUGCCACCCGCUCUCUCGUAAGUUAAGAUAAAGUGCGUUUGAAUAUGAUAAUGGAUUGAUCUCGCGAGGGAUCAUAGAAGCUCUAAGCCCAGAGGACGACAGGGCAAAAUUUUUCCUCAAAUAGUGUCACAUGUGUUGCCACAUCAUUAACUAACUAAAUCAUAAUAAGCAUAUGGCCGUGCAAUCUAAUGUUCUUUUCUUCUUCUUUUUUCAUUAUUUAACACGCGAAUGAGAGAGGAAUUAUCGUAAAGAAGGUGAGAGAAUUGAGAAUAGAAUACAAGGUUUGGUUGAACUACGCAACUAGCCGCCUUCCAAUUGAUCACACCAUCUAUCCUUAUUGUAUAACGCUACUACCAACUCGUCCACACGAAAUUCUUGGAACCAUAAAUUGUUUUGGCAAAAUCCAAUGAGAAACGAUUCCACCUCCUCAAAAUCACUAGGACACAAGCAAUUCCUUUGUUAAUGACCUGUUUAGUCAUUUUCUUGUUUUCGUCCCGGCUAAACCACUACAUAGUGGUAGGUAUGUAAUAUGAACAAUCCUGUUAACUUUUAGGUUCUUCUUUUUAAGAUUUUUUUUUAAUAGUGAAUUUUUACUUUCUUGCUAAAAAUUCAAAUAUUAUAUAAAUCUAAAAAGUUCUGAAAAAGUAUAUGCAAAUUUGGUUAUUACCAGAGAGUACGUCACUCUCUUGUGAGGGAGGAUAAGCAGACAAUAUGUCCCCCUUUGAGAGCGAAAUACUCUCUAGUUAUCAGGAGAGAGGAUGUCCCUCUCCGGUCAUUAUGAGAGAGCGACAUACUCUCUCUAGUUAUUAUGGGAGAGGAUGUCCCUCUCUGGUCAUUAUGAGAGGGUGACAUGUCACCUACCAUAUGAUGGAUGAUUUUUAUUGUUUAAUGACCAUGUCGGAUGCCUUACUUGGUGUUGACUAUCGCGACCAAAUUUUUUGGGUGUGAACCACCUAGGGUUUGGCUAAUGGAUUGUUAUGCUUAGGCCUAACUCGGGCUCUCCCAAACAUAUGUCAAUUUGCGACUUAUGUUCAGAUUCUUAACAUGAAGAUAGAUUUUAUUUAGGAGUCGUCACUAAUCUAUUUUUGGUGGGUCGAUUAGAAACCCAAGUAAAGUAACGGGAGUUUUACCUUACUCCUACGAACCAGAGACUAUGGGUACGGAGACUUUGUUACACUAGAUUUCUCUAAUACCCUUUCGCUACCAUUCUUUUAUUUUCAAAAAUAUUUUUGCAAGCAACUUAAAUUGAUUUUAAAUUUAUUUCUCUAACAUGUGAGGUGAUCAUGCGAAUGUACAAUCCACCAAUUUAACACCUAAAUAAACAAUGAAUAAAUUGCAAAAAAAACUUACCUCAAAGCAACGAAAGCAUCUGCAAUAUUAGAUUAGAAUCCACAUCAACAACUUUAAAUAUGAUUUCUAAUUAACACGCAAUUUCUUUUUUUGUUUUUACUUAAUGAGAAUCAUGCAAUAUGCAAUGCAAUAUAACUAAAUGACCUAAUUCUAAUGACAUGCCAUUUCUAAUUAAAUUGACCUAAUAACAAUCUUUAAAUGACGUUCAUUUCAUGAAUCUAAUCCUAAUGACAUGCAUAUGAUAUUUUUUCUUUUUUUUCUUAAAGAAUGCAAUUCAUCAUAUGAAAUAAAACUAAUUUAUUCUAAGACAUUUUUUGGUUUUUUUUUUUUAAAGAAAUUCUGAAUUAGAUAAAAUGUGAAAAUUAUCUAGCUAGAUUAAGAUCCUAUUCAAUUUGUAUUAGGAAUUAGGCUAAGCCAAAUCCUAAUUUAAACUAAAAUAUUAUCUCAACCUAAAUAAUUCUAAGGUGCAAUCUAUUUAAGAAAAUACCUAAACUUAUAAUAAAUUAAGAAAAAUAUUAUCUAGAAUUAAACUAAGUGCAAUUUUACCCUAAUAUGCAAUGACAUACAAAAAGAUGCCCUAACUCUACAUGACAUAUGUAUGAUGAUUUUUUUUUUUUUUUGUGUUUUUGUUUAUUAAUUUCGAAAUUAAUAAUUGCCAAAUAAUUAAACAAUGCAAUCCAAGUAAAAAAAACUAGCAACCUAAAUUAAUUGAUUUGAUAUUUAUUUUUAUUUUUAUUUUAAAUAAAAUUCAGAAUAAAAUUUCUACUCCAAAUAUGCAAACCCUAAAAUAAGAAAUAAACCUAAUUCUAGCCUACGUUUUUUAUUUUUUUAUUUUAAAGAAAUUUAACUUAAAUGACACGACAGCAAAUCAGAGCAAGAUGAUAUCCAAAUUGACGAAUCAUAUCUCACGCAUAAGAUCGAGUUAGCUAAUUUUACAUAAAAUUGCGAAUCGAAUCUCAGGCAAGAAAUCGGAUUAGCAAUUUUUUAAAGUGAUUGUGAGUCGAAUUUCGGGUGCGAAAAUCGGACCGACAAUCACAAAUUUCAUUUGGGCGGCCAGAUGUAACUUGCCAUGGAGGAAUAGAUGUUGGAGAGAGGCGCUCAUUUGGGCCAGGAAAUUCCUUAUGGGGAAGGAUUUUUACCACAGGAUAGUUCGAUUCUCUUUCGGUGCUUUGUGCCAUCUCAUUUGAAAGAAGAUGAAUGCGAUUAUCUUCGGGGGUGAAUGCUCGGUGGUCCCUGCCCUUAAAAAUCACCUAAUCAAGGUGGUUAAGGACAAAGCACUCACAUUCACGGAAGUUCUUCCUUCUCCGAGGAACAGAAGACUGCAAAAGGGGUGGGGAUUCCACCCCAUGAUCUUUUCCUCUGUAGCUAUUCCUCCUUAGUUUGUUGUUGUUUCGGUCUGCGCUUGUUCUUGUAGUUGCAGGUUCCUUCCUCCUCUGUUCUCUACUUUUCAGCUUUGAGGGCUUGAGGGCUGGGGAGGCUACGGGCUCCUAUUGUUACGUCUUGUUUGUUGGCUUCCUAGCUUUUGUGUUCUUGCUGGCGCCCUCGGGCUUUUUAUUGGAUCCCCAUCACUCUUGCUCCUUUGUUAAGAGUGCUUGUUUGGAUCCGAUCUUUUGUACUUUUGUCCAUUCUCAUUAAUAUUAUUACCUUUACCAAAAAAAAAAUUAUACUAAAAAAGAGCAAAUAAAAUAAAAUAACAGAAAUAACAGAAAUAAAAUGAGAUAAAUAAGUAAAAGAAAAACUACCUAAUUUUUCUUUUGUUUUCUUUUUUUCUUUUUCUUUUUCCUUCCAAGCAAAGCAGCAACGUGAUGGUCGCCCCGGUGAGGGGAGUUUCACCGUCGGUCGCCGGUCGUCGGAGCUCCGGCAAGGAGGACCAGUAGCGAGCGGAUCGGUGGCGUCGCGAGGAGCAGCGGCAGGCGGCCUCGCUCAGGCUGAGGCAGAGAGCGGAGCGCCUCGGCUCGGGCUCGGGCAGAGGCGUCGGAUCGUCGGCAAGUCGCUGACCGGAGUAGCACCGGCGGAGAUCUGCAAGCNNNNNNNNNNNNNNNNNNNNNNNNNNNNNNNNNNNNNNNNNNNNNNNNNNNNNNNNNNNNNNNNNNNNNNNNNNNNNNNNNNNNNNNNNNNNNNNNNNNNUCAUCUCUCUCUCUGCAGACCGGUCGCUUUUCUUGUCUUUUCUUUUUCCUUCUGACUUUUCCUUGACCUAGAAACCGAGAGAGGCCCCCCUGUCUUUUUCGUACGGAAUGUCUUUUAUAGGCCCAGAAAUUGUAUCUUCGCGAUAUAUUUUAUUUCUGUUUUUUUGUUUGCUCAUUAUACCCCUAAAUAUGUCGUUGAAAUACACACUCCGCGAAAUAUUCCAUUUCGUAUUUCUCGCAUAUUCUAUCCAGAAAAAUUCCCUCUUUGCACAAAAUAUACCCUUUAGUGUAUAUUACUUAAAAAUAUGAAAAAUUUGAACGGAAUAUAUGAAAGAUCUUCCCUUCAUCGGUGGCCUAAAAUAAAACAAAAUGAAAAUAAAAUGUUUCUAAACUAUAUGCCAUGUGUUAUAUAUAUAUAUUGAAGAAAGCAACUAGCAAGAGCAAAUAAAAGAAACUAUUGUCCGUCACAGGUGUCAUAUACAAAACAAAUCUAAUUCUCGAACCCACAUUUUGGUGCCACUUUUUGUCCCCAUGGGGGAAAUAUUGGAUGCCCAAGUUGUGUCCCUCAUCUACGCUAGGUCAUCCACACUAGUUCACUUGGAAAAAGUAUCAAAAAUGUUAUAUAUCUAUUGUAUUUGUAUUACUUUAAUCUUAAAUUUUUUCAAUUUGACCAAUUUCGUCCUAAACAUUUCCACGUUAGUACUAAUUCAAUUUUAAUCUAGGUGACUGUCCAUCCCUCCUAAUUUUUUUUUCUUUUGGUCAGACAUCCCUCCUAGUUGACAUGGUGACAUUUUAAAUAAUUUUCUUAAUACUUUUCUUCCUUGCCAUUUUUUUUCCAUUUUCAUUAUGCCGCUCGCCCAAGCGAGGCCAACCCUUGCCAACCAUGGCCGAUGACUCGUCUGCAAAAAGAAAAGGAAAAGAAAAUGUAAAGAAAGAAAAAGAAAUAAAUUCUAUCUAAAACCAUAUGCGGAGUAUAGAAAAAAUUUCUAUACUCGCGAUGGCAACAUGCUUUUAAUAGUUGUUAUAUUUCAAAUAAACCAAUGACCAUGGCAUUCAAUUAACAAAAAGUAAAUGGUUAAUUUAGACAAUGCUUUUAAUCGUUCACUAUACAAUUUUCUAAAAUCUUGAAAGCUACCCAAUACGGUCUUAUGCUUUGAAUUUCAGGGACUAAUAAUCCUCGGGCUAAAUAAUAAUCCAAAAACAUCACUGAAAAUUUCUUAAUCAUCUCCAUUAUAAUGGAUUCCUCCAUAGUAUAUGGGCAUUGGUACCCACUGGUAGGAAGUCCCCGAAUGGGGAUACCCCAAACUGGGUUGCCAUGGAAAAAAUUGCCCAUUGCGGGCUGAUCAGUCCGACCUAUGACGUUAUGCACUUGAUCUUGUGCUUCUGAGGUCGUUGCAUCCACAGGUAAUUGAGGUUGAUUGUCAACCAUGACGAUAUGGAGAUCUCCCUCUUUUCUUUUUCCUUCGUCUGUUUCAAUGUGAUUUCCUCAAGGUGUUGAUUCUUGCGCCGGAGUGCUAAUGUGUUUUGCAAGUUAGCUAGAUUCUUCCGGCAGACAAUCAGAAGACCAGAAGAGGAUGAAUCAAGGCGGAAGAAGCGGAUUAAAGGUGCCUGACCCGCUCUGAUACCAUGUAAGAAGAUGAAGAAUACGAGAGGAAAGGAAGUGAGAGGGGAAAUUUUCUCUUCUAUUUCAGUAUAUUCACGCAAUGUACAGAAUGUGUAUUAUAGUACAUGUUGUAUGUAAAUAAAAUGAAACAAUAUUAUAUACAAAAUCAUAUUCGAUAUUAAUUGAUCUUGACUUGUGCAAUGAUAUAUGAAUGAUUCCGUUGAAUAUCCUUGCGCAUCUUCAACGAGAAGCGAGCGAUGGAGCUGAGAUGCUUGAGUAGAAGAAGAAGAAGAAGAGGCAGCGAGGGAGGGGGAAAUCGGAAGGUCGUCGUCGGCGAGGGUUACCUCCGGUGCAGAAGACGUCGCGCGAGACGCUUGUGGAGAACCGGAGGGAAUUGAAAGCGAUGCGACCGUGAGAAGGAGAAGAGUGGAGGGAGAGGGAUUUGAAUUUGCAGGGAAGAGCGAAGCAAGAAGAAGAUAAGCUCGCCAUUUUUUCUCCGUGGUAAGCUUCUUUUCCCUCUGCUCCCUAUCUUGUAGAAGCUCCGUCCCUGCAAGUUUAGCCGGCGGAAACGAGCAAAUUCCCUCCUUUGCCCUUUGCUGGUGCGUAAAAGCUAGCUAUGUCAGAAAAUGGCACAAAUGAUUAAUGAAUUUUGAGCCUAUGUAUAAUAUGAUUCAUGAAAUUUUAAUUUAUUCAGUGUAAUUUAUAAAUUUUAUACCCAUGACCAAUGUAGUCCUUGAAUUAAUUUGUUUAAUAUGAUCCUCAAAUUUUCAAUAGAUAUUUAAUUUAAUCCCCGCACUUAAAAAAAUAUUAAAUAUUACCCCUUGAACAUGAAUUGAUAGGAAAUUGAAUUGAACAUAUAACACUAGUUCAUAGACCAUAUUAAACCGAUUAAAAGUUCAAAUAACACAUCACACAUGGAAAUAAAGUUCAUGGAUCAUAUUAAACAAAUUAAUAAUUUAAGGAUUGCAUGUCAAAGUUUAGAGACUAUUUCUAUCAUUAAAUUAGGCUUGACUAAGAUUUUUCUUUUGAUUCUUUCUAUUAUUGCUUUAACCAAAUCUCACUCGAAUCCUCUAUGUUUUUAUAAUGAUAUUUAAUUUUUCGUGUAAAUAUUGAGACUACUAAAGUUCUUCGAAAGCUAACUUUCCUCCAUAAAAAUUACUAACCAUAUUGAGAAAUUACGGACUGAAUAGAAGCUUUAACUGCAAUAAAUACUGACACUCUGAAAUCUACUUCCCACAUGAGAAAACGAGAAAACGUACCCCUUCACUCUCUGAAAACACACUAAUUACGCGAAAAGGUUAAUUAUUCCUUAUAAAUUCGAAGUUAUUUUUCCACUUUGGAAAUUGCUAUUCUUCUGAAAGUAAAUAGGCAAAAAAGGAUGAAUACUUACUUCUAUACGAUAUACAACGUUGAAAAGAAGUGCUUUUUCUACUUGGAAUUAUAUUAAGGUUCGAUUUCUUUAAGGGUGGCGGGCCAUUAGAAGAGGCGAGUUUUUCUUCCUCAUGGAAACUUACUAAAAAACACUUCGAAAAGAUUUCGUUAAGCGCAAUGAAAAAGUGGCCAAUCAUUAAAAUACCGAAGCUUCUUCUUUUUUUCUUUUUUUCAUUUUUUUUUUCUGUAUAAAAUGCUAAAUCAGUAAUUUCCGCUAUUUCCUUAUAAGGAACCUCGUCAAUCGCCUUGAGAUACUUCCGGCUAAUCCGAGACGAGCGACUUGCUAAUGACAAAGAAGUUCCUAACCGCGAUCAUUGAUGAGGUACUAAUCAUGGUGCAAGUUGCUAAUCACGUUGGUGGUUUAGCAAUCUCUGUCGUUGGUCUCUAAAAUACUGGCCACACUGCAUCAUUUCAAUCCCCAAAAAUGGUUGCAUAGAGAUCCCACCCCGGAGAUAACGAGACGAUGGCAGUACGCUUUUACUUCAGGGGAUUAACCAAAAGUUGGCUCCUAUAACCUGCUGAGAUUUACAAGUUCCGUUCAUGUCCGAAAACUCCAUAAUUCAAGCAAGCAUCCGAAGCGGGCAUGUUUUUUCCGAGCACAAAGAAGAAAGACGGCCUUGAGCACGGACUAUUUUACGCUCCUCCCGAGUUCUGGGAGAUUGACUUUGUCUAGAAUCUUUCGGCUGUCAUUACAACAGGUUGAGCCUCGGGACGCCUUCUUGCAAGAAAGGGACCCCUUCUCACAGCAUCUUGCAACUGUGGGCAAAGAAGGGAACAUCAUCAAGUCACAAAGAUACACGACCCGGGUCUUUACAUAACAAAAUCUUCGUACGCCAAGGUAUAACACGGAAAUGACGCAUUCCGCUCUGUGUAUCUUACCUUGCUAGCAAUUCCAGCCAGAGAAGGAUCGUUCAUCAGUUUGGUUGAACGUGUGAAAGCUUGUGUAUUGCUUGGCAGCAACCGUACCUAGCUUCCAUGCCUGAGAAGUCCACCAUCCAAAUUAAAACGCUAAAUGAGAGGCAAGCGAUGGACAAUGCUUCAACCCACUCAACACAAGGAUUAAAAAAAAAAAAGAAAAAAAAGCGUGCGCUGUGAGAGAGAGAGAGAGAGAGAGAGAGAGAGAGAGAGACAUUCAACUCCAGAUGACUUCUACUCGGUGUGCAUUUGUGCGUCUGUUAAGUCACCACUCAAAUUAAUGGACUUAGAAAUAAACAAGAAUGCAGGAAAGGCCCAAAGACACAUCCCCGCAGACAACAAAAGCAGAAGAAACGGAGGAAAAAAAAACAGAAAAUAUAAAAAAGAACUUUCACAAGAUCACCUAUAACAAAUUUAUGGUCCAAAAUAUGUAAUCACUAACACUUAUGCUUAAGGAAAUAGCGUUGACAUAAUUACUAAAGCUCCAACCUACAUGCUUCAAGGGAUAACAUCUCCAUCUGAUGAUCAUGUUGGUGCUUCCGUAACAUGGUGAAUAGGAAAGCGAGCAAUAUAAAAAUACCUAUUUUUGUGGUUUCAAUGCUUGGGUCAGUUACGAUAUCUACUAUCUCUUCUUUUGAGCAGAUCUCCAUCAGGCACCAUGGCCUAGCUACCAAAGCUGUAAUUCGCCUAUAACCCUGGAAAUAUCAAGCUCAUCACAAUGGCUGACAAGCGAAAUUAACCACAAAUAGCAAUGAGCUUCAUUAAGCACAUAGCUAAAAACCAUCAAAUAGAUCUCAACAUUCAUCGGUCAAUCUCCAAUUUAGGACCAGAACAUCAAUUUACACUUACACGUUGAUUAUUUUAGUUUAUGUAUACUUUACAUCUAAGGAAGAAGAAAGCUUGGCUCCUACAAAAAGUUUUUUCCUCUUUUGUGCAUAGGAAAAUAACAUAGAACCAAUCAUUAUGUUUCCUGGAAAAUUGAAGAAAUCCUACUUGAUGCUCCUGAUUACCAAAUGGAUCUGCUUGCUGUAACCAUAAGUGGAUACACAAUAGUAAAACUGAGAAAGAGUAGGAAGCAACCAGAAAGGUAAUGACCAACUCGAUUCAUAAUUCCUAUAACAAAAUCAUCUAUUUCCAGUCCUCCCCUCUUUCUCUUCAGCUAAAGAAGCAAGCGUAGAACACACUGCCCGAGGAUAAGAUUCUGAAGGAGGAUCUGCCACAUACUCAGAACUCUGAAUGGUUUUAUAGAUAAAAUCCAAGGUUGGUUGAUGCAUGUUAUGCACGAAGGAACGUACAUAUUGUGCCCAAAUCCAAAGCAGCGCAAGUUCCACAUUUGUCCAGAGUAAUAUUUUAUAAAAAUGAGAGAGAUCUGUAAAUGACACACCGCUAAACGAGUUUCUGCCUCCUGCUGAAGAACUGAUAGGAAAAGGCCCUGCGAAUCAUGGCACAAGCUCAGCAAUUGGAAGGGAAAAGAAAAAGGAGCUAAAACACCCAAUUAAGGAGUUGCCAAACAAGCAUUCAACAGUUUCUACAUACUGUCUUCAAGGCUGUUGCUUAAUGACUUAUAUCCAUCACACAUUCAUCUCACAGGUCAGAUGUAUCGUUUCUAUUCAGUGCGUGAAUGCAACAGCUAGUUAGUCAUGCUCCCUAGCUUUUGCUCUGAAAUAGACAUAAAAGCACUAAAGGAAGAGAUUCCACAGAAGAAAAUAAGCUAACAGACAGACAAGAUGAGAAACUCUAAACAGGUCAGUCUCGUGAGUUCAUUAUGAGAUCAUAGACCUUCAUGUCAAUAUAGAUUACGAGUAUACUCAAGGUCGCAAUGAGUCAAUGACCCAAAGGAACUGCUGUUGAUGACUAUAGAAUUUUCUCCCAAAUAUGGGACCUGCCAACCUGCUCAUGAGCUUUAAUAUGGAUUUCGCAAACUCUGCACCUAAAAUAAGCUGAAGGCAAUUUUGAGACCUCUUGUUAAUCUAGGUUGUCCUUAAUUUCCUCAACUGCUAUAUCACCAUUUUGCUUCUUUGUUCCCUUCUCUGAAAUAUCAGGCACAUUCCACUAUCACAAAUGAUCAAUUAAGUUUCAUUUCAUAUCACUAGCUUUUCUAGACAAUUCAUAUUUAAAAUCUCCAUUUUGCUCUUGAACCUCAUCAACUAAAGAACAGAUUACAAAGAUGAGCCACUACCAUAAGCUAACACACUAAAAGUGGACAAAAGAACUCGACUUACCGAUGGUAUCAGCUUUGGACUCCUGGAUGCAGCCUCAUAUAUCAAAGAGUCUUAAGGGUUUCUUCUGCAGAACCAUUCAGUAUUACACUAUUAUCUGACCGAGCAUCUCCAGCCAAAUUUCCCAGUGCAUGCAAUGCAGCCUGAGCAAUUUAAUAUCAUAUCAUCAAUAAACUACCACAGGAGAUACAAGUAAAAUCUUUGACCUCGGCUUACUGUUUGUCAUGGAGUAAGCCAUAAAUCAAGACAUUUACAGUACAAAGAUUUGACAAGUUACAAACUCUCAAGAAGCUAACCACAGUUUGCACUAUUCUGGUGAAAGCAUGAAAGCAUGUACAUUUAUGUGUGAUGAGAGAAACUGCCUAAGAUAAUGAGUACUCAUAACAUAGCACAUGUGAAAAUGGAGUCAACAUAACUUCGUUAGAUUGUGGCAAGAAUGGUGAAACUGAUAACAGUAGAAAAAUCUAGGCAUAGCACAUAUCCAGGGUAAAGCAUCCAUUGAAUAGGUCACUCAAAUUAGACAGUACUGAAGAACCAGUGAAACUCUAACGUAAUUAAAAUAUCGUUUCUAAAAGUCCUCUUACUUCUUCUAUAAAAGGGACAUGCUUUAACUUAUGCAGUAUCUAACUCAUGUUCUUUUCACUUUGUCUCUCAUCUUCGAUGUCAUCACCUUCUCAAAUUACAAGGACUGACUCCAUCUCAUGCUAUAUAUAAGAUCAUUAAUUUUUAAGAUAUUCACACUAAUUGGAUCCCCUUAAUUUGAUAAUUGAUCAUGACAAAACAGACAAAGAGUUGCAUGGACAAAAGCGUCAUAUAUCUGCUCACCAGCUGUUUACCACGUCCUUGUCUGUCAAAGGCAGCAUACACUACAUGUCUUGCAACACGAUAUGUGCUCGACAACAAUAACUCAGCUCCCUGAGUUGCUGAAAGCCAAAAUAAAAGACAGAGAGAGAAGAGAAAAUCUUAGUUUCCCAUGGCCGAGGGUACAAAUUGAAAAAUAAAUAAAUAAAGGAUCGCUACUGCAGCAAGAGUGGAGAUGGAAAAAGAAGUACACUAAUCUGUUAAACCAGCAUGGAAUGAGUAAGCUAGGCAUCUUCUAGCAGGGAACAUGCAGGCAAUCUAUAUUUUCUCUCUUUCGAUGUAUGGUAACAAUUCAUUUAAUUCGUGAAAUAGCGAACCGAUAAAAGCUCCUCCUUGUGGCAGGGAACACAACAGCCAGACAAGCUAUGGCAAACCAACGCAGUUCUACUAGCCUACAUGUAACCAGCUAUUAUGGUUAAAGUAUUACAUAAUCCAAUUUGACCUAAUGCUUCAAGGGCAGCUUCACAUUCAUCUGUAUCUAGACUCUCUGACAAGCUGAGUCUCCCAUCAAUGGCAGAAACAACUAUUCUGACACCUGCACUACAAAGCAAGUGUCUUCGAAUUAUCACUCAGUAGGGCAAGGACUCAAGUAAACCCAUAAUGCAAAUUCUCAAUGGGACAAACAAAUCAUGCAAGAAUAAUGUCACUUUAUAAUUGAAAGAAAAGCUACAGAAACCAUAGUAUAACGUAGACAAGCCACUCAAUCAAGCACACCAACUUCCUCAGUUAUACCAGUGAGAACUUGAAUAUUAGUUAUUGCAUUAAAUUGUGAUGAGAUAGAAAGAUUAUCUGAAGCGUGAAGGCUAUUAUAGUGCACAAAUUUGCUUAGAAUGUGCUGACAUAAGGCAAUACCAACCAAACAAUUAACCUCCUCAUGACUACAAAAGCUAAAUAUUGGGCAUAUGCACAGAAAUGAUGGAUCAACCCUACUGGAUUCGUCUGUAAACAUAUAAGUGUCCUCCUUGGACAGUAGUCUUCCGCAAAUCAUCAUUGCUCUGGACCUCAAAAUUGACUCCAACAAUGCAUUGCUACAAACAAUUAUAGCUAUUGUAGUGAUGACAGUUUAGGACCUGUAGAAACUAAAAUUCAGAACAAGAUUGAAAGCUCUCAAUUACCUUAUGAUAGAAGCAAGUAGCUGAAGAAGUGCAGUCCUCCACAAAAUUUUCGUUGCAUGCCGGAUCUCAACCAUCUUGUUAAAUGUGCGAAGGAGAAAAGGAAUUACGAAAAUUUAGGGAAACAAAGGAACAUAGAUCAGUUAAACUCAAUAAGUGUUACAGACGUAUGUAGUUCACUAUGCCAAGGACAUCACCUCCCUCAUAUAAAUAUUAAACUGCAAGUGCAUGAGCAAGUAGUAUGUUUCUUCACUAGGGAAAGAGAAAAGGGAGAAGCAUAGAGAUUAACAAACCUCAUACAAAAGCUCCAGAACACUCAAAGUUACAAGGGUGUCUUGAGAAUCGCUGAUUUCUGCCUCAAAUAAACUUAGUAGAUUGGAACUGUAGAUAAUUGAUGCAACAGAACUGGAGACAGAAAACAGCUUCACUAUCGAAGCUAGAACCCAAACACGACCCUGAAACAUGGUUAUGAAAUUAGAAAUUUUAUCAGUACCCCACUUUCUACGAGUGUAGAUAAGUAGGCGUACGUGCAAACGUAGUGCAAAGGCAAGUAUGGACUUCGUCUAUAAGCUUCCGUGACUUCAUGGUACAAUAAUAACGUCUACAUCAAAGGCUAAAUCACAAUCAACCAAAAACUACCAUUGCAAAAGCACUUGGUUAAUUUUUCGCAUAAGAUUGAGAUCUGAGCACAGUGACCAAAUUAUCUAUUCAUUAGUGCCUAGGAUUUUGCAUCCAUCACUUGUAAUCAAUAAUUUGGAUAGAAAGGAGGGUCUUUUGGGGAAGGGGGGGUGACUACCCUUCUUCAAAUAUGUCCAGACAAAGGAAGUAACCAGCUGAUCGAACUUGUUCUCGCUAACUGAUGCAAGGCAAUGUAAGUUCAACUGUUCAAGUAACAACAUGUAUAUAUCCGUACCAAUGACGAGCAUUGAGCUGCUAAGUUUCUUAGACGCGUAACUUCACUGUCACUGGCUGGAAAAACAACGUUCUGCAAGGUAACAUAAGACAGCCAUCUCAGGUAAGUAGCUUAUAAUAUCAAUAAACCGAAGCCAUAAGAAAUAAGUCUGAGCACGGAUCAGAGUCAAAUCCUUACUGUACCUCUUUGAAGGCAUGCCAGAGUCUUAAUAGCAUCCAUUGAAGCUGCAGUAACUUGUUCAUUUCUAUAGAACAAAUGAACUACAUUUCACUAAGAUAGGAAGAGAUUCCCACCAAAUCAUCAUAAUUCUAACAUGGAUAUUUUCAAUCACUAAAAUUAGCACCGCUUAAUUUUAUUAAAACCCAGGUAGGAGUCUUGAGAGACUGUUUCUGAACUUGAAGAGAAUACCAUGCCAUACAUCCAAGUUACGUAAUGGUUUAUCCAACAGCAAUUAAUUCUUCGUUCCAAAAGUUUUUCAGAGAGCAAUUUUCUCCUUUAGCAUUUGGAUAGAAGACUAUGGAGAGAAGAGAAUUGUUGGUAAAAGUAAACAUAUGUAAGUUAUAAUGACAAAUUUACCCUUUAAAACAGUAAUGCUUUUCAAGUCUGCUAAGAAAGGCAUAAAAGCAGCAAAAGGUCAGUUUGGAGAGAAAUAUUCUCUCUCUCAAAAUUCCUUCCAAUUCCUUCACUUCCCCUCUCUUUCGAUUUCCUCACUUCAUCCAUAAAAGUUAUUAAGAGAGCAGAUGGUGCUACUGGGCAGAGGCUGCUUAAUUCCCGCUAUCUCACUGACUGAGCUCUGGACCACUAUGACGAGUCCGCUAAAGAAUGUCUAGUAAUGGCAUCUCUAGCAAAAUUGUCAGUCCCAGUUGAUAAAUUGCUUUGAAUACCAAAUAAAGCUGGCAUUUCUACAAAAUCCUUGGUAGUUUUUCAAGUGGGGAGCAAAGCGUUUCUCAUUUUCUUUUACUAGGAAAUUCGGAUGCUAUCUCCUUGACAUCUCAAAUCACCGAACAUGUCGAGCGUCAAUUCGUCUUAAAAUUUUAAUGGACAUCACAAUGACUCGUGGUGCAAGAUCCAGGGACAUCUCCAUAGUGGCUGCCACUUUACUCGACAAGACUGGGAUUUCGGUCUCAAAAGUCCCUCCUCUACCAAUAUAAGUAUAUACUACUUCUACCUUCGUGGAAACCCUAGGUAUGGCCAUCUUCCUCUAUGUAAUAUAUGUAUAAAACUCAUUUCUACCUUUCUGGAAACCCAUACAUGGCCAACUUCCUCUGUAUCAUAAACUUCCCAUUUCUAGCACUAUUUAAACGACAGACCAUGCCUAUGGAGUAGACAGUCAAGAUCAAGAAAUUCCACAAUACAGAGUCAAUUGAAAAAACAAAAAAAAUCACUAUUAUGUUCUUACCCAUUAACAAGGCAAUCAAGAAAAAGUGGGUAAAUAUUGUAGUCAAUAACUAUCUUCACAGCAGACAAAGACUUUUCAUCCGAAUUCUCCAACAGGCAAGACACCUGAAAAAAAUAAUAAUUAGAAGAAAUAAAAAAAACUAAGAGCACAAUUCAAAGUGCGAGGUACAUAUAAUCACCGCAUAAAUUAACUUUGAAUUCAGGGUGGACAUUUCAUCUUUUAAUUUUCUCCUAGACACAGCUCCAGUAAAUAUCUCCCUCAAACUAAGUUCAGUAACUUGCUAAAUAUUCUUACUUCUAAACUCCAAUAUCAUUCAGUAGAAAUAUGGACAAACAGAAGAAACAUAUAUAACAUCUCAUCAAGUCGAUAAAACUGACUUUGACAUGUUUUUCCUUUCCUAACUAUAAGAAAACAGAAGGUUUUACCAAGUAUAAGCAACCGGGAGCUUUGUGAUCUUUUAUAUAUUCUUGACAAAUUAGGAUCAACUGCAAAUCAAUGUAAACGACCAAGAAACACUUUGUUUCCCUUUGUCUGUAACCAAUCCCAUCAAAGAAGGUGAUUAUCAAUCUAACCUUAGGAGGACGGAAACCAACAACCUUGUUUUAGAAAAGUGCAGUGGGGUGCGGAGCAAUGACCGCAUGUGGAAAACUCCAAGCUUUUUCUGGAAUUGGAUGGCUGACUUUCUUUAAAAGAUCUUUAUGUAAUGACAGGAUGCGCUCAUUUCGCAGUUGUCUAUGGCUCGCUAUUUCUGAACUACAGCAAGUUCAUGAAGGUGGUCCACCUCAUGACUACAGACCGGCAGCUUAUUCUCUAAGCUAAAGACCAGGAUAUUGGAAGUUAGGGCUGUGAAUUAAGUGCGGUUGGCAUUCUGCAUUUUAAAAGUUAACGUGUGCUAUCUGGUGUUGUAAUCGUAUAGCCACAGAACACAGAAAUCAUCCAUUGGACCUAAAUCAAUAGCAGGGGUUAAAACCUAUUUCAUACUAACCGUUUUGCAAGCUAGACAUCUGACUUCUUGUGAAGCUGCCUGCAAACCAACUUGUACAAAAGGCUGCACAAACAAAUAAAAAUUUGGGGAAGCAUGAAGCUCAUCUUUUUAUACGCGCACAGAGGGGAGAGACCCGCCUAGACUACAAACGCAAUAGAGAAGCGAUUCAAAUCCAUCCAAAAGGGCUUCCCAUGGUACAGGAACCUAAGAUUAUCGAAGGUUUCGAGCAUACCAUAAAGUGCGGGAUCAGGGAAGCGCCGUAUUUGGUCUUGAACACUCUCUCCAGACAAUUAACCAGUGUACUUUCGAGACCGGGCACAUCCGCUCUCGUUUGCAAAGCGCUGCAUAUACGAGAAAACCAAAAUCGAACAAACGCUUCUCUUAACUUCUUGAGCAAGUCAGAAUCAGCAAAAAGCCACAAAACAAAAAAACGACGUCAACAAACAGUAGACGGUCACGAGUUGCUAUCGGGUCGCAAGAACGAAGAAAUCCAGCGAAGAUGAUAAAAAGAAAUGGGUAGGAAACAGAACGACAAGCUUGUCCGAAGAAAAAAGAAUCAAGCAGAAAAGAAGUCGGAAUCGUCCGAGACACGUCACCUGAUGAUGACGGGAAGAGGAAAGCGAUCGAGAAACUCCUUCGCGGCCGCGUCGUUCUGGACGCCUGAAUCAGCAGGCACCACGAAAGACGAAGAAAUGAAACAAACAACUCCGGGAAACCGAGAAGAGAAACGAAACCGAGAUCGGGAAAAGCCCUAACCGGGAUAGAGGGCGAAGUCGGAAGCCGCUUCCAGCAAGCGGGAGGUGUCCUCCAUGAAGUACUCUUCCUCCAUUGGCGCUCUCUGGUCCAUCGCUUCGCUCGCCGAGUGAAGAAGCAGCAGCAGACUGGAUGAAGAGAGAGGAGAGAGAGAGAGGGACGUUGCCCCGGAUUCGCGUACUGGAGAGGCGCGUGGCAAUCGCCGUGGGUUCGUGUCUGAAUGACGAUGAACAAGUUCCAGUCCGAUCUGUUUGAGAAAUGGGCUUUUAUUGCAGGACGAGCCCGGCCCAAUGGGCCCAUGAUGUCUUGCCGGUCAGCCCCAUUCUAUUUUUCUUUUCUUUUUUCUUUCUUUAUUUUCAAUAACAGAGUAAUAAGAGCCUCUCUAGCAUUAUUUUCGUAGUAAUAAUGCUCAGGCUCAAAAUAGAACUUUUAUAUUAGGCCCCUAACAAUUAUAACCCCACACCCACUCAUGACCACGAGUCUCGGCAAGAGUAUGUAUGCAUAGGUGCAUCGGUCAUGGUAACCCCAUCGAAAAACUGAUCGAUGUCUCUAUUUUUUCAACGGGAUAUCUACUCUAUUAUGCACGGAAAUUGAAAUAUCACUUUCUUCUUGACUUUGGUUUCAACCUCCCUCCCCUAGGCAAGGAAGCAAUUGAUGCGGGGGAGGUUAAGAUUUGAAGAAACGUAUAUCAAAAUUCCUCCGUUCCCUUUUACUAAGUACAAUAGUUUGAGCAAAAAUUCGCAUGAUUAUGCACGCGAAUGCACAAAGAUUUCAUACGUAUGGAGAAGAAAAUGCAUAUGGGCCGAAUGGUUGGCCCACUAGAUCUUACAAAGUUCCCAAUAAGAUUUUGAAGGAAAGUGAUGCCUGAAAGAGAAAUUGAACGGUGUCACUUGGAGGGCCUGGAAAGGCGCACUUCCUACUUGCCAGGCCCAACCCCACCUGUUUAGGACCGACCGUUUUAGAACGGUUCUUUGGGCUUUGAGAUAGUUUCUGCUAGUUCGUGUUAGGACAGGACCAUUUCGACAACAUCGUUGGUGGGCAGGUCAACUCUCGUCAACAUCGCUUGUUGACCGCUCCUGCCAUUGGGCCAUUGAGAAGUUUGAAAAGUCGACCCAUUGAUCAAGCCCUCGUUAAAUCCAUUUCAAGUAAAGCCAAGGAUACGGAGGGCCGUUCUCAACAUCACUGGAUGUCAAACACGGCUUGCUUGUUCAAUCCAACCCACUCCUUUGAAGGGCCGUGGCACUGCUCAAUAUGCUAACCUGUGGAUCAAUUUGAUGGGAGAAUAGUAACAACCUGAACACCACAGUAACUUUAGAAUUGCUCAUCUCCUUUGCCCCCAAAAUCUUGUGCUAUCAUCUUUAAUUUCAGAAAAACUAAAGCGCACAAAAAAGGGUUAAUGCCACGAUAAACCUCAAAUGGGUACACAUAUGACAAAUUUACUAUAAACUAAUAUUUUGAUCAUCAAAAAAUCCAAACCGGUAAAGUUUCCUCUAAUUUCACUCUUAUUAAAUGACCCGUAGGAGUUUAUGGAUAUUUCAAUUUGAGAUUCUAUUCUUCAUUUUCGGAGGUGUAUCAAUUUAUGAUUUUUCGUAAUACUAACGGAAGAUAAACUUGUUACAAAUGCACCGAUUAGGAUUUUUGAUUGGAAGUAAAUUUAUCAUAAAUGUACUAUUUUGAAAUUUUUUGUGAUUAAAAAGAUUAAUUUUUGAUAAAUUGUCAUAAGUAUAUCGUGAUAUUAACCAGGAAAGAAAAGGUUGAGACAAAGUAAAAGACUAGAAAGAAAAGAAAUGUGUGGUGUACUGUAGUACUACGCUGCAACGAGUUGUCGGCAGAAAUGAGAAAAAAGAUAUGCUGCCCUCACCAUGAUGUUGUAACCCGCUGUUGCAUCUUCCAUGGCCGUACUUUCUGAAGCCAUGUCAAGUGUGUUUUUGGCGCUUCUUCAGAUUCGGCCCGUCUCAUCAUUUCUUUCUACCACAAUUGUAUGGCCUUGGUUUGCGGUCUAACAAAUUUCAUGGUAGAAUCUACCCCAUAGAGAUUUUCUCAAACAUCUCAUUAGCUGUAAUAGAUUUGUCCGACAACAAAUUCGAAGGGCCUAUUCCACUUCCAUCGCUUGUCACAUUAUUUUAUGUUAUUGCGAGUAAUAAUAUUACAAGAAAGGUCCCUUCUUCAAUGUGCCAUGCCACCAAGUUCGAGAUCCUUGACUUGUCGCACAACAGCAUAACAGGUAGCUUGCCUCGGUGCUUAACAAAUUUCAGUAACAAUCUGUCAAUUAUGAACUUGCAAAUGAACCAAUUUGAGGGCACAAUUCCUUGAUCAUUUUCUCAGAGAAAUAACUUGUCAACUCUUGACUUGAGUUGAAAUCCAUUUGAAAGCACAUUGCCAUGAUCCCUUGUAGGGGUGAGCGCAAUUCCCGAGUAGAACUGGGAACAAGAGAACCGAACCGGAGGGUUCGGUUUGGUUCCCGGUUCUCUUUUUCUAGGAACCGACAAUUCUCAGUUUCUGAAUUGGCCCCUUUAGAACUGGUUAGGGUUCCUAAAAAUCCCCAAAUCAAUUUUUAUUGUUUAGUGUUUAUCCUCAGUAGUCAAUUCGGUUCUCCUCUCUCGUUCUUUGCCUCUACCCACUCCCUAACGUCGCUUGCCCUCGAUGCCACCGCCGGACGCCCCUUGCCCUCGAUGCCGUCGUUAGAAGCUGCUCGUCUCACCGUUGGAUGCCAAUCUCGCCCUGCCUUACCUCCCUCGACGUUGUCACCCCCCACUUGCCUUACAGCUCAGCCGCUAGACGCCACUCACCCUCAACGCCGCCGCUGGACGUUGCUCGUCCCCCUGGUGGAUGCCGUUCGCCACUCACCCAGUCGCCCCCAACACCGCUCAUCGCUUGCCCAACCACCCCCGAUGCUGCUCACCUAAUCGCCCCCAACACCUCUUGUCCAAUCGCCUUCGACAUCGCUCGCCACUCGCCUAGCUGCCCCCGACGCCGCUCAUGGCUCACCGCUUGCCUUUCGUGCCAGUGAUCUCUGUCGGCCCCUCUCUCCGUCAUUUUGCGAAGUAUCGCAAAACUGAGCAAAGCCCUUUGUUGUCCUGUAGAUUUCAGUUCUCCUUUAGUGUUGUUUUCUUGUGCGGCCUAUGCAUUUCAUUCGGAAGAGAGGAAUGUAAAGGUGGGUAUGUUUAGGGGAGCAUUUAUUGCAUUCAAUUAGGUCAAAAAGUUUGGACAACGUAGAAAUUGAAAUUGAGUUGAGACAAUUCAUUUGCUCAUUAACAUAUAGUUGGCUUCUGUUGCAGUUCAUGAUAUGCUAUGGCUUUUCGUUGAUUUACUUUCUCGGAACCAUUGUCUCUUGGCGCAUCUUGGCUCUGAUCGAUAGUGUCUCAGUUCCCUCUUUUUAUGUUAUGUGGUGAAUGAGUUGGAAAAUAUAGAAAAGUCAUUCUUGGUGAUUUCAUCUUUAGGUUGCAUUCCCCGUGUCAUACAAAUUUUGGGUUUGUUCUUUGUUCCAGAGUCUCCUAGAUGGCUGGUAAGUUAUUAGUGGAGUAGAGGCAUAGACAUUAACAUUUCAAUUGCAAUCCACUUUGACACACAAUCGAAUUGGUGCAAAUUGCCAGUCUAAGUAUAUGCUCGUGGUGUAUAAUCAUAGAACUCAAUGACGAAGCCAAGAUUAUGAACUUUUCAUUGUAAGAAUAGCAUAAAGUCAUUCGCAGGUAAAAGUGCACCGAGAGAAGGAGUUUGAAGUCACAUUAUAAAGACUUAGAGGCAAAAGUGUCAAUAUUACUCAGGAAGUAGCCGAUAUUAGAGUAAUAUCUCAAUCUUGCUUGUCUUUUAGAUAAUUUGGAAUUGUUUGAUUUUUACUACUAAGGUAUCUCAUUUCUGCCAUGCCCCGAACCUUGAGCACACGCACAUCUCUCUGUGGUCGAUACAAAUGUGACGUUCCCAAGACGCGUUGCCGACCCAUUCAUUUUUAAUGCACAUGCGGAGCGUAUAAAUAACUCCUGAUAACAAAAAACAUGGGAUAGGAAAGCAAGGCACAUUUCACAAAAGACAACUUUUAUAAACAAUGGGUUUAGAUAUAAAAUGAGUCUUUGAUAGAGAACAUAACUCAUGGUGGAACAGAAAAUGAUGAGUAAAACAUUCAAAAUAUCUUGAAAUUCCAAAUAACUUUACUAAAAAAUAACAAAAGGGAGUUCACUCCCCAAUAAUUAACUGUCCACAAUUUAAAAUAAUUUGUCUACAUUGUAGUCAUGGCCAUAGCCAAGCAUUUAUUUAUUUAUUUAUUAAUGGUCACAUUAUGUCCAUAGAUUGUCUUAUAGAAAAAAAAACUCUCCUAUAGACUAGAUUAAUAUGCCUUAAAAAAUGAUGAACAUAGACUUCCUUGGCAUGUAUUAUGCAGCAAGAUUGAAUGAUAACGGAAAAAAUUCAUCGGUAAAAUUCAAGUUAUGAGAUUAGUCUGUCAAUGCCCAUUUGACAUCAAUGUCCUGAAGACUACUGCAGUGUCUCGCCAGUUCAAGGUGUUAUGAAAUCGCACGUUGAUUCUAGAAAAAUAACGCUCGCAAACAAUUCACCAAGCAUAAUAUAAUAAUAAAAUAAUAGAAUCGGAAGAACACGCUAGAAAAUUUGUUAACGAAGUUCACCCAAACCUGGGUUAUGUCUCCGCGUAGAGGCACUCUGCGAAUCCACUAGACUUCGAAAAAAGUUUGAAUACAACGAUGAUCUUUUCUUAAGAUCAGGGCACAAAAAGAUUGAGAACCCUCAUAAAGGAAAAACUCACUUUUUUCUUCUCUCUUUUUCUUGCCUCUUUAUUUUCUUUUUCAGCGUCUUGACGACCAGCGUUUUGCCAUUGCUAAUGUAAAUGUAUCACUUUUAACCUAAAAGCAAAUUUGAUGGAAAAGACUAAAAAAACCCCUAAAAAUAUUUGGCUUCAUCUAUAACAAUCUCCCGCUUGAAGACAAAUAUACCCGAGCACCAAUCAACUUUGCAUCCAUCUUCUUCAAAAAACUAGUUGUUGACACCUAAAUUUUGGUGGUCUAAUCAUUCCUUCAUUACAUAGAAGAUUAGGGACUAAAAUUUAGCCCUUAAGCAAAAAUAUUAAAUUAAAUUGCUUAGCAUAUAGAUAUUAGGGGGCAUAUUUCAUUUAAGUAUACAUUUGUUGAGCCUUGGAGGGGAUGCAACUGUGUAGAAUGAGAAGUUUGAAGUCGAUGGAGAUGGAGAUGUUUCUAAGUAGGACAAUUUAAAUCAGGAUCUUGAAGGGACAGAAAAUGGUGACCAUCUCGAUGAAUCAAAAGAGAGCAUUCCUACCCCAAGAACUGCUUGUCCGGAACUCUGACUUGAAUGUGGAUUUGGAUGAAAAUGGGAAUUCAAAAUCAAUAUUAGCUUCUGGUCCGACUAAGUAUAUCAGCCGCUCUUGACGCUGGAUUCAUGCAUGAGGAAUAUCUUGAGUGGUCUCUUUCUGAAGUUGAGAAGAUGGCCAUCGAUCCCGUUCAGCUUGCAAACUUGAAUAGAGAGAUGGAUGAAGAUGAUGAAGAUAACGAUGAAGAAGGCUAAGUUAGCAUGAUGCUUUGGUGCUAUUUGUUGAUGCAAAACCAUUAAAUGUGUUUGGAUAGAGGCGUAAACACCUCACAUGCUAAACUUUGGAAACAUUGUCAAGACAGGGUUGAAACUGACUAGUUCCAAGCUACUUUAGGAAGUUCAUAGUUCAACGUGUCAGAUUGCAUACAUGUAUAAAAGCUUGUGAUGAUCGUCACAUGGUGUUAUCAUCAGUCAACUCACUAUUAUCAUUGCCUUUUCAUCCCUUUUCGGUUUGGAAUGUAUUGACAUCAUCAAGUCUAUUUCAUGUUUCAAUGCAUGAGUGUCGAAUCUUAUAUUUGCGUAUCCAUCUUUCCUUGUACUCCUGUAAUAGGAAAAAUAGGAAAGCCCAAUUUUGCAAGGGAGUUGAAUCGCGGUGGCCUUACACCAUUACACAUUGUGUCGGCCAUGGGGGAUUUGAAAGUCACAAGGGAGCUUCUAAUAGUAGGCCUUGAUCUUUGCAUGAUUGAGAACAAAGGUGGCUGGACACCGUUCCACUAUGCGGCCAUCAAGUGUAGGGUCAAGUGAAGAACCUAGCUUACUUAAAGUAAACACCUGUCAAGUGUAGGGGGCAGGGGUUUAACAACCACAACUAUUCAUCAUCGCUAAAUUAUUCCUGUUCCACGUCCUCGUCCUCAUCGAUCUCCCCUUCUUCCUUGCUCCAGUUGGCGGCCUCGACUGAGUACACCAGAGAGUCAGGAUCGCUUUCGAGUUUGGGAUUCUUGGCAUCCACUACUGAUCCACCCUCAGGAUCUACGGUGCCAUUCCCAAGCGCAACCUCCAAAACAUAUCGAGGUAUAUCGGAUUCCGACACAGGACCCUCCCUUCGCCCAUCAUGAUAGUGGCGAUACCAUGACCGGUACCUAUGAGGCACCUUUUCGGGUUCACCCACGUCAACCAAGACAGUGGAUUUUAUCAUUACAUACUCCGAUCCUUUAGGGUGAGGGUGUAUUGAAAUAUGAUAACCUACUUCUGUGACUUCCUCCGGUAUACCAAAAUGCACGAGAGGAGGGGGAGGUGCUACCAUCUAGGGACCCGAAAUGUUGUCCCACAACGGGGUGAGACUACGUCUCAGCAAGUUCUACCCCCUAAGACCCGAUUAGGAAGCCAAUACGCCCUAAAGGCUACCUAAGCCCAAAUUGGCGUCAGAGAACUUACUUUGGCCUCAGUUCAUUCCUGCAAGUCAGUUCAAUUCAUAAAUGUUGACUGGUACAUCAUCCACUCAAUUCAAUCAGAUCGACUUAUCGAUCAAUCGACUUGGUUGAUUAUAUGUCAUCGAGACCAUCACACGGUCACAUCAAUUAAUCAUUCUCAACUCUUAGCCAUGGCCUAACAGGCACAACCUAAACUAAGUGGUAAUCACGGCCCCACUAGCAACUUUUCUAUAUUUGGUGGUCAUCACGGCCCCACCUGGCAAUUUUCUAGGUUUAGUGGCAUCACUGUCCCACUCGGCACUUUUCUUAAGUUUAGUAGCAUCACGGCCCCACUCGGUAAUUUCUUAGAUUUAUACCUACAUUAUCUAAUUUUUGGUAUAAAUCCUCAUAAUCUCAAAUUUCGCUUAAUUACCACAAUUCGGUACUCAAUUAAAUAAACAGAUAGCACCACAUCAAUCAGCACGAAAUUCCGGUCACCGACCAUCCCGGUUGAAUUUCCAAAAAAUAAAUAAUUAAUUAAAUAAUUACGGAAAAUAAUAAAUAAAUGCAAUAAAUUCAACUUAGGGCCGUUAUAGCCUAAUUGAAAGCCGAAACGGACUCGGAAAAAUUCGAAGUUUUGUUCAAUAAUUAAUAGCACGAGUCUACUUGCUAAUGUCACUAACUAACCACCUAACAUGCAUCGGCAGAUAAUUAAAUUAACUAAUCUAAUCUAAUCUAAUCUAUCCACCUAAACCAUGCUUAAUUAACCUAAUCAAUCCAUAAUCGUAAUUAACCGACUAAGCGGGAAUUAGUGAGUUCAACUCAUUUGUUUCACGAUCCGUCCAAUUCAAAAUGUCGGGAAUGCAACGGGGACCGAUUAACUCCAUGGUAGGCCCAGAUUUUAAGGCCCGGAACCACCUCAAAACAGGCCUUGAAGCUGCUAGAAUACCCACUUCAUCAGCCUUUGUUUGUUGCUGUAAACAAAGAAAACAAAGGCUGAACAAGUCAAGUAAGACUGGUGAAGGCAACGGCAAAGCCGAGCGACCAACAACACGAGCUCACGGUGGUUGGACAGGGCUCACGGUGGCCUGAGUUGAUCGUGAGAGCUCCUGGGUCACGCGGACAGAGGCGGACGACGAGCUGGGACGCGCGGACAGGCAGCACGGGCGAGCGGACGCGAAGGUGAGUUGGCUGCUCCGGCGGGCAUGCGGUGGCGCGGCUGCUUCCGGCGGCUUGUGGGGUCGACGACUGCUUCUCUCCUGUUGGUUGCUAGGUUUCGAACAAGGCAAGGAGGGAGAGGCGGUCGCAUGGCAAGGGGGAAAGAGGAAGGAGGGAGAGAUUGGAGGGGCCACAAGCCUUGAUCUUCCACCAUAUUGUUCCCUUGACUCAACCACAACCACAAGCACUUCCUUGUUUGCAAUUCAGCUAACCAUGCACAUCCUUGGACACUUGAAAUGGUCCAAAAUCAUAGGGAAAUGGGGGAGCUACGAAAUUGGCUAAGUUUCCUCCCAACUGGACACAUGUUCUUGUUUAAAUCAACAUGAUUUGGCCUCAAUAAAUUCAAUCGAUACUCCUCCGAUCAUCUUGGCAUUUUUCCUUACAAAUACAACUCACUUGCUUCCUAAAUUUGCGAUAAAAAACGAUCCCUGGCUAUUUUGAACAAAACGGCCCUACCUUGACUUUUUCUCAAAAAGUCUCGGGUUGGAGAAAAAUCUUCUGAGAUUGAGUUGAUGCUCCUAGAAUUUAUUGUGACAUGAAAAAAUCUUCAAUUUCUGAAAUCGAAUUUAAAUUUGCGGUUAAUUUCUCUCAGACGCAUUUUUAGCGUGACCUAGGUUACUAGGUAUGUUUCAGAAACUUUUAGUACAAAUGACCCGUGGUCAAUUUUCUUUGAGUCACAAUGAACCCACUCGAUACAUUGGCGACUCUUGGUUGUCGUGAAAAUCUCGAGGAUUCAAAUACGGACACAAGGUACCAAAUGAUAGAAAAAUCAGUCUAAUGCCAGCCGACGAUAAUUUUUCAAUUUAAUGGUGUCACCCAUAAUUGGCCACACAUCUCAAUUGAGUUGACCUAUCUCUGAUCUCAAAUCUAUUUUUAACUGUACCAUAAUAGCCUCUAAAGAUGAUCAAGGUCGAGAAGCCGCUUCCUAGUUGAAUUCUUAGGUCUAUUGCAUUAAAAUUCUUUAAUAGCUUCCCUGGAUUGUCUAAUUAUCUCAAGAGUGAUCAACUUUGAGAACAACCUUAUAGGCGCGUCGAUGAAAUACCCAAUUUAUUUAAUAGAAAACAAGAUUGAAAAUUUGGGAUGUCACAACUCUUCCCAUUUUAUAAAAAGGUGGGGGUACAACUGUUGUCACGCCCCGAACCCCGAGCGCGUGCACAUCCCACUGCGGUCGAUCAAAUAUGCGACAUCCCAGGAUACGUCGCCGACCCAUUCAUUUUAUUACGCAUGCGGAAGUGAAACAAAUCCCCUGACAACAUUGAACUUGGGAUAGAAAAGCAAGCAAUCAAUCACAAUACCAAACACUCAUUUACAAACACAUAGGUUUAAAUACAACUUUGGACUGUUUACAAAGUAGACCGGCUCGACAAAAGGGGAACUAUCCUAAAACCAACUAGCAGGACACGUUCACCGAUACUUCAGUCUCCACUUUUCCAGACUUAGGGCUUCGGGUCCUCCACGACCGCCAUCUAGGGACCUGAAAUUUUAAUCCCACAACUGGGAUGAGACGAUGUCUAAGCAAGUUCAACCCCCUAAACCCUUAUUAGAAAGAAAAUACGCCCAAGGGUGGCCUAGCCACAUCACACAGAGAACUUACCUCACUUCAGUUCCUUCCUGUAGGUUAGCAAAAUUCAAAUCACCCAACCAUAGAUAGUAAUAGGAACUCAAACAAUUGGAACGCCAUCACUUUCAUAUAAAUCACAAUCGCACUUAGCACGCAUUCCAAUUAUUAUUCACUGCCACACAAGGGCAUAGCCUACUCGCAGUUCGGCUAUCUACUGGCAUAUAGCCAGGCAUCGCCUCCCCCCAUUGAGCAUGGCUUCGUCAGUACGUCGACGGCAUUCCCGAAGGAGCGUGGGCCCAGAAUCUACUGCGACCCGCAACCACCGCGUGGGCAUCCCAUAUAGGGGCAAGUCCGGCUCAACAGCCCAGGACGAUUCCUCUUAGUUAUCACACAGUCAAAGCAUACUUGGCCCCAGGAUAAUUUAUAUUUCACUCAAUGCUUCAACUUAAAACAGUGAUCCCGACCAUUUUUCUUCAUAUUAAAAAUAUUCCAGAAAUUACUCACGCGCGUGGGGACACGCUAAUUUCGAAUCAAAAAGCCAAUAUCUCACUUUUUCAAACCCCACUAUUUAAUAUAAUCAUUAAAAUCCAAUUUUUUGCAUCAAAACCCAACACUUGGAUUUUUAUGAAUAUAAUCCAUAUUUAUCACAAUCAACACUCAAUUUGCCACAUCCAUUCAUCAAAUUCAAAUUCUAAAUGCACAGCAGCGAUCAUCACGAAAUUCUGAGAAAAUAAGAUUCCAAAAUCAUUUUCAGAAUUUAUUAAAUAAUUAAAUUUAUUCCGAAAAUUAAUUAAAUAAUAAUAUCCCUAUCUUUCACGAUCCACACUCAAUUCAUAAUAUCCAAUUAUCAAUUUCAAAAUCCGACUAUACAGCAGCGGCCGACACGAAAUUCUGAGAAUUUAUGGUCCCGACAAAAUUUUCGGAAUUUAAUAAAUAAUUAAAUUUAUUCCGAAAAUAAUUAAAUAAUAAUAUUUUAAUAAUUUCGAAUAAUAAUAUACUAUUAAAUUAUUUAAUGAUUUCGGAAUAUUUAAAUAAAUCAAAAGUAAAUUCUUUUAUGUCACAUUAAAGCUUAUAUUAAUGUAAUCACUCACUUAGCCUUAAAUUAAACACAAUUUAAGUUAAUCAAACACCUUAAUAUAAUCUACACUUAAAUAAAUUAAACUAAGCACCCCUAAAGCAUCAUCAACACUCUAAUCAAGGUUUAGUGAGUUAAACUCACUGGAUUAGCGAGCCGAGCGAACCAAAACGACGAGGACGACGCGAUGAUCGACUUUCCUCAAGGCGGGCCGAGCAUCCGGGCUCGGGAAGGCGGCCAAAACGGGCCAAACAUGGGCUGCCAUACCCAUUUUCUAGCUACUGAUUUGGGGCUGGAGGAGGCGGAUCCGGCGCCGAAAUGGGCGGAGGAGAGGGAAGGCAGCUCGGACGGAGCUCCGGCGAGGCUGACGGUGGCUGGAGGCGGCUGAGCCGUGGCCUAAACUGGCCGAACAGCUCCCUAGACGCAUGAGCAGAGGCCAACGGAGACGGCCUGGCGUCGGCCGAGCGCGGGCGAGCGCGGGCAGUGGCGGAGCACGAGACGGCGAGCGGCGACGGCGACUUCGGCUGCGGCGCGCGGCGGUGAGGCCUCAACGGCGAGCUGGCUUCGUCGAUCUUCAACUUGCAGGGGCGUCGAACAGCAAGGGAAUGGAGGAGAGAGAUGGAGGUGCGAGCGGGUAGGGCGAGCGGCGAGGCGAGGGGCUGCGACGGCGACGACGGCGAGCGAGCAGGUGGCCGGUCGGGCGGGCGAGCGGCUGGCGAGCUGCUGGUUUCCAUCGGUCUCUCCCUCUUCCCCAUUCAAGGAACAAACUCAAGGUUGAAGAUGAUGGAGAUGGGUUGGAGGUGACAUCCCACCUUUUGAAGAACAAAUCCCUACCCUCCACUUAUCACGAUUUUAUGCACUCUUGCCCCCCACACCAUGACAUCACAAAGUGAUGUCAUACUCCACUAACUCUAUUCUCCACAACCUCUUCCAAUGGGUGCAUUUUAUUUUUCCGCCGAGGCAUAAAACUUUGUCCAUUAAUCUCUUUAAUUCCAUUCAAUUAUCUUCCAAUUGAGUCCAAUUGAAGUCCAUAAAAUUAAUCCAAUGUCACCACACUUCAAUUCACAUUUUCACUUGUCCAUAGAAUCAACUUAAGUCCCAAAAGUACGACUAAAAGCGGGCCUAUUAAUUUCUCAAGCCAAAUUAACCAAUCUCUGAUUUAAUUUGCUGAAAAACUCUGAUUACAUGAAAAAUCUUCCGAAGAUAAGUCAAUGAUCCUGAAAUGAUUUGUGAUACCCUAUGACUUCCAAUUUCUGAAUUCGAUCUCAAUUUCACGGUUAAUUUCACUUUGGCACGAUACUAGCGCGGCCCAACCUACCGGGUAGCCUUUAGAAAUUUUAAUGCAUUUGAUCUGUGGUUGAUCAUCUCAAGCCACAAUGUACAUCUUUGAAACAUUGACGACUUUCGGUUGUCGGGGUAAUCUCAAGGUUUCAGAUACGGACACAGGGUACCCAAUUGACAGAAAAGUCGGUCUAGUGCCGAUCGACAAGAAUUGUGCGAUCUGGUGGAAUCACCCACACUUGAUCACAUGCCUCUGUCGAGUCGACCUAUCUCCGACUAAUCGAUUUUUAAUUGUGCCGUAAUGACCCUUGUAGAUUAGCUCGGUCAAAAUGUCGUUUCAUAGUCAAAUUCUCGAGUCUAAUGCAUUAGAAACUCUUAACGGCUUCACCCGAUAGACUAGUUUUCACAUGAGUGGCCGACUCAAGGAAAAGAACUAUAUGCGUGCCAACGAAAUGCCCGUCUCAAUUUAUUGAAAAUAGGAUUGAAAAAUCGGGAUGUCACAACUCUUCCCAUCUUAUAAAAAUUUUGUCCUCGAAAUUUAAACCUUUACCAAUUCUCAAACAGAAAAGGUGGGGGUACAAUUGUCUCAUCGAAUCUUCGGUUUCUCAAGUUGCUCCUUCUGUACUAAUGUUGCCAGAUCACUGCUAUCUUGCCCAAACCACUUCGGAUCCAAAAUACUAAUCACUUGCCCACUUAAAAUUCUAAAGGUCUUCAACACAAAAUCUGCGAAGCUAAACUGGAGAUUCUGAGCAGUCUCUAAAUUGUCUCUGAUAAUUGCAACUGAAUCACUGAUUUCUGACCCAACUCUGGAUUUGCGAUUUUCUGAUCUCUGAUCUCAUCUCAACAGACUGAAAUCCUGUACACUUUACUCUACACUGAUUAAAAGGAAACUAUUUGACUGAUCUGCUGAAACUGGGAACCUCUAGUCAAGAUCUGAUAUAACUCUGACACUGAUCGCGGUAACUGCAAUCACUGACUACUGUACUGAUCCUGGCCUGUGAUCCUUCUUUCCCUGACUUUAUCUCAACAAUCGAAAUUUUGCACCCUCUGCUAUGCACUGCUUAAGAAAGAAUCAUCUGAAAGCUUUGCCAACUUGGAACAUCUGAUCUAGAUUUGAAAUACAAUUCACCAUCGGCACUUCAUGCAGAUGAUUUAUAUGAUAUACACACACUUCGGUGUACCCACUUUGUGACAAGACAGAAUCUCCAAUUUCUGAAAUCGAACUUAGAUUGGCGGUUAAUUUCACUCCGACACGCUUUUAGUGUGACAUAGGCUACUAGGUAGUUUUUGGAGCUUUUUAGGACAAAUGACCCGUGGUCAAUUUUCUUCGAGCCACGAUGAACCCAUUUGACACAUUGGCGACUCUCGAGGGUCAUGAAAAUCUCGAUGAUUCAAAUACGGACACAAGGUACCAAAACGACAGUAAAAUCAAAUUAGUAUCAUUCGACGAGAGUUUUCCAAUUUAGUGGAGUCACCCACAAUCGGUCAUUCAUCUCAGUCGAACUAACCUAUCUCUGAUCUUAAUUCGAUUUUUUUACUGUGCUGUAAUGAUCUCUAAAGAUGAGCACGGUUGAGAAGUCGAUUCCUGGUCGAAUUCUCAAGUCUAUUUGCCUUAAAGUCCUUAAUAACUCACCCAACUAGUCUAGUUAUCUUGUAAGUGGUCAACUUAGAGAAAAACACUGUAAUCACGUCGAUGAAAUGCCCAAUUUAACCAAUCGAAAUCAGAGUCUGAAAAUCAGGAUGCCACACACUCAAAACAAGGUCUAUUCAUACUGUCUGGACAACGCUGAAAUUACUAUGAUUAGCUUCCCAUAAGAUAUCUUCUUUAAUCUCUACAUCAUCAAUUACACACAAUUAUCCUCAGAACCUUAGCGUUCUGUUUUCAGAAAUCUGAAAAUCAACCUCUCUCUCAUCUGCAUACUCUUAUAGAGUCUCUUGAAUUUCUGAAUCUGUCCACUGAAGCGCUUUGAUUCUGAUCUGUACUCUCGGCUCAAUUUUGAGGGUAAUCAUAAGAUUCAAAAGGUGGCCUACCUUAGAUUUGAAAAUCAGAUUUCGAACUUUCUUAAAUAAGAUCCAAUCCAUGAGUACCAACUGUGCAACUAAGGACUCUCGACUCAAUGCAUCUGCGAAUUUGCUUACCUUUUCCAGAGUGAUACAAAAUAUCAUAGUCAUAAUCCUUAAUGAGUUCCAUCUAGCAAUGCUAUCUCAUAUUCAACUCCCGAGGUCUCAACUGACGGGACGCAUGUGCAACAACUCUAUCUUGCUGCAUCAAUAAGCAACCAAAUCCUUUAAACGACGCAUCACUGCAGAUCUCAUAACUUUCAGGACCAGAUGGAAUGAUCAGCACAGUGCGGUAGUUAGCCUCUUCUUAGGCCCUUGAAAAUUACGCUCGCACUCAUCUGUCCACACGAAUUUUUCUUACUUCCUCUCAGUAGUCGAAUCAACUACAACGCUAACACUGAAACCCCUUUCAUAAAACUUCUGUAAUAUCCUACUAAUCUUCAGAAACUUCUUAUCUCUAUCACUGUAGACAAUCUCGGCCAACUGUUCACUGCUUCAAUCUUAGACGGGGUCUACGGAGAUUUCUUUGCCUGAAAUCACGUGACCUAGGAAAGCAAUACGAGUCAUCCAAAACUCGCACUUGCUAAACUUAGCGUAAGAUUCAAGAGUCAUCAAGGUCUGAAGUACCAUCCUCAAAUGUCUCUCGUGCUCCUCAGCACUCUUUGAACACACUAGGGUAACUUCAAUGAAAAUGAUCACAACUGAUUUAAGUACCAUUAAACAUUCUGCUCAUUAGACCCGAACAAACAGCUAAGGUGUCCAUCAAACCACACGGCAUUACAGUGAACUCAUAAUUGCUGUAUCGAGCGCAAGAUGCUAACUUCGGUAUGUCUUUCUUCCUGAUCCUCAACUGAUGAUACCUUGAUCUCAAGUCGAUCUUGGAGAAUAUAGAUGUACAAAUACAACGAAUCAACUUUAUUCCUCACGAAUAGAACGGGUGCUCCCCAAGGUGAUGCACUGGAACGUAUGAAUCCCCUAUCCAACACUUCUUGCAUCUACACCUUCAGUCCUUUUAACUCAGGUAACGCCAUCCGGUAAGGAGCCUUAGGGACUGGCUCUGUUUCGGGUACUAAUUUCAUCACGAACUCCAUUUCUCUUUCUGAUAGCAAACCUAACAGUUCUUCAGAGAAUACCUUAGAAAACUUAUGUACCACGAUUAUGUCCUCCAUAUUCGGCCCCUCAAUUGACACAUCCAUUAUAGUUGCCAUGCAGAUUCGGUAACCAACAACCAGAACCUGGUCAUCUUCAGUGACGAAUAACAAGGAUUGAAGUUCCUUUUUGACUCUCAGUAAUUCAAAACUUUUGCACGCUAACUAAAUAAACUGAAUUAUAUCACUGCUACGAUUCAAAACAGCAGAAAGCUCCUCGAGUCAAACCUUUUCAUAAAUGACUUCCAAGUCAUACAUAAGCAAACCCAUCAGGUACAACUAUAGUCAAAUACUCAUCUUCCUAUUACUUUAUUACAACAAUGCAAACUCCACAACCUUCACUCAAAAUCCUGUUGCGUUACUCUGAUAAAACACCUCAAAACAUUCUUCCCUUGAUUAAUGCAUAGUCAAUCCAUUAUUAUUCCUUUCGCCAUCCUAGUGGCGUUCUAUCUGCAAUAACAGUGCUUACACUCUCCUGAACUUACACGGACAGUUCUUAACCUGACGGCCAUGCUGGUCACAUUCAAAGCAUGUUUCCCUUUUUACUCUGACACUGGGCUGACUCGAGCCUCCUUUCCACAAGCUCGGCACACAAUCAGAGAGUCCUCUACCUCCCAUCAAGUGACAUCAUGCACCCAUCCUUGCACUGAGGUCCAUUACAAGUACCUCACUAAAUGUCCCGAAGCAUGCUUCUUCUGUUCUGUCUUAUCAACGGCGGUGAUAGAAACAGCUGUGAUUCCAUCUGUCUAUACGGACAAUCUUUGAUCAAAUAACUGUACUGGCGACCCUUGUAACAAGUCCUGUCUCUCUUACAGCACGGAACAGAUCCCUGUCUUCUCUUACAGACACGACACACAUCGAUCGAGAUGAGUACUGACUUCUCAACUCUACUCUUCCGGUUGGGUGAAACAAGGCACCUUUCUUCUAACAUCGGACUUCCUCCCCAAUCGAUUUCCAUCUUUGUCUAAACUGAACCUUGACUCAGGUAUAGCGGCUUGAUCCUCGAUCACAGCUCCAGAUUAGGCCUCAACAGGCACAACAACAACAACGGUCACAACACUGGCAGCGGUAGAAACAACGGCAACAGCAGCGGCUCGGUCCUGAGCUUACUGACCCAACGAGCUUCUAAGGAACACUAGCGCCUGAACAAUCCCGACAAACCUAGGAUCAUUCGGUGCUGCUACACUCUCAGUACUGACUGACAGUGGUACUCUCACACUCGCGCUGGUUUGAGCCUGCGCACUACCUCGGGUACCAACCCUUGUCAGCGUCCUACCCUGAAGUACAGGUCCUAUCGACCUCCUCCAAGGAGUUCUCCACUCCUGGUCACUCAUGCUACAGACUCUAUAUAGACGCCUGUUUUCCAAUUCCAACACCAGGUUAGAAUCUGAGUGACCCCACAAACAUACUACCAAUCAACUAUCAACCACAUGCAUUAGCAUAUUAAAAGCCUUUCCUACUAACUAUCCCAUGACUCAUCGCACCUUAUCACUCCAUACACAGACCAUACUCUGAUACCACUUAAACGGGGAUGUCACGCCCCGAACCCCGAGAGCGCGCACAUCCCACUGCGGUCAAUCAAAUAUGCGACAUCCCAGGAUACGUCGCCAACCCAUUCAUUUUAUUACGCAUGCGGAAGUGAAACAAAUCCCCUGACAACAUUGAACUUGGGAUAGAAAAGCAGGCAAUCAAUCACAAUACCAAACACUCAUUUACAAACACAUAGGUUUAAAUACAACUCUGGAUUGUCUACAAAGUAGACCGGCUCGACAAAAUGGGAACUAUCCUAAAACCAACUAGCAUGACACGUUCACCGAUACUUCAGUCUCCACUUUUCCAGACUUAGGGCUUCGGGUCCUCCACGACCGCCAUCUAGGGACCUGGAAUUUUAAUCCCACAACUGGGAUGAGACGAUGUCUCAGCAAGUUCGACCCCCUAAACCCUUAUUAGAAAGAAAAUACGCCCAAGGGUGGCCUAGCCACAUCACACAGAGAACUUAUCUCACCUCAGUUCCUUCCUGCAGGUUAGCAAAAUUCAAAUCACCCAAUCAUAAAUAGUAAUAGGAACUCAAACAAUUGGAACGCCAUCACUUUCAUAUAAAUCACAAUCGCACUUAACACGCAUUCCAAUUAUUAUUCACUGCCACAUAAGGGCAUAGCCUACUCGCAGUUCGGCUAUCUACUGGCAUAUAGCCAGGCAUCGCCUCCCCCCAUUGAGCACGGCUUCGUCAGUACGUCGACGGCAUUCCCGAAGGAGCGUGGGCCCAGAAUCUACUGCGACCCGCAACCACCGCGUGGGCAUCCCAUAUAGGGGCAAGUCCGGCUCAACAGCCCAGGACGAUUCCUCUUAGUUAUCACACAGUCAAAGCAUACUUGGCCCCAGGACAAUUUAUAUUUCACUCAAUGCUUCAACUUAAAAUAGUGAUCCCGACCAUUUUUCUUUAUAUUAAAAAUAUUCCAGAAAUUACUCACGCGCGUGGGGACACGCUAAUUUCGAAUCAAAAAGCCAAUAUCUCACUUUUUCAAACCCCACUAUUUAAUAUAAUCAUUAAAAUCCAAUUUUUUGCAUCAAAACCCAACACUUGGAUUUUUAUGAAUAUAAUCCAUAUUUAUCACAAUCAACACUCAAUUUGCCACAUCCAUUCAUCAAAUUCAAAUUCUAAAUGCACAGCAGCGAUCAGCACGAAAUUCUGAGAAAAUAAGAUUCCAAAAUAAUUUUCAGAAUUUAUUAAAUAAUUAAAUUUAUUCCGAAAAUUAAUUAAAUAAUAAUAUCCCUAUCUUUCACGAUCCACACUCAAUUCAUAAUAUCCAAUUAUCAAUUUCAAAAUCCGACUAUACAGCAGCGGCCGGCACGAAAUUCUGAGAAUUUAGGGUCCCGACAAAAUUUUCGGAAUUUAAUAAAUAAUUAAAUUUAUUCCGAAAAUAAUUAAAUAAUAAUAUUUUAAUAAUUUCGAAUAAUAAUAUACUAUUAAAUUAUUUAAUGAUUUCGGAAUAUUUAAAUAAAUCAAAAGUAAAUUCCUUUAUGUCACAUCAAAGCUUAUAUUAAUGUAAUCACUCACUUAGCCUUAAAUUAAACACAAUUUAAGUUAAUCAAACACCUUAAUAUAAUCUACACUUAAAUAAAUUAAACUAACCACCUAAUAACACUUAACAUAAACUAAGCACCCCUAAAGCAUCAUCAACACUCUAAUCAAGGUUUAGUGAGUUAAACUCACUGGAUUAGCGAGCCGAGCGAACCAAAACGACGAGGACGACGCGAGGAUCGACUUUCCUCAAGGCGGGCCGAGCAUCCGGGCUCGGGAAGGCGGCCAAAACGGGCCAAACAUGGGCUGCCAUACCCAUUUUCUAGCUACUGAUUUGGGGCUGGAGGAGGCGGAUCCGGCGCCGAAAUGGGCGGAGGAGAGGGAAGGCAGCUCGGACGGAGCUCCGGCGAGGCUGACGGUGGCUGGAGGUGGCUGAGUCGUGGCCUAAACUGGCCGAACAGCUCCCUAGACGCAUGAGCAGAGACGGCCUGGCGUCGGCCGAGAGCGGGCGAGCGCGAGCAGUGGCGGAGCACGAGACGGCGAGCGGCGACGGCGACUUCGGCUGCGGUGCGCGGCGAUGAGGCCUCAACGGCGAGCUGGCUUCGUCGAUCUUCAACUUGUAGGGGCGUCGAACAGCAAGGGAAUGGAGGAGAGAGAUGGAGGUGCGAGCGGGUAGGGCGAGCGACGAGGCGAGGGGCUGCGACGGCGACGACGGCGAGCGAGCAGGUGGCCGGCCGGUCGGGCGGGCGAGCUGCUGGCGAGCUGCUGGUUUCCGUCGGUCUCUCCCUCCUCCCCAUUCAAGGAACAAACUCAAGGUUGAAGAUGAUGGAGAUGGGUUGGAGGUGACAUCCCACCUUUUGAAGAACAAAUCCCUACCCUCCAUUUGUCACGAUCUUAUGCACUCUUGCCCCCCACACCAUGACAUCAAUGUCAAGUGAUGUCAUACUCCACUAACUCUAUUCUCCACAACCUCUUCCAAUGGGUGCAUUUUAUUUUUCCGCCGGGGCAUAAAACUUUGUCUAUUAAUCUCUUUAAUUCCAUUCAAUUAUCUUCCAAUCGAGUCCAAUUGAAGUCCAUAAAAUUAAUCCAAUGUCACCACACUUCAAUUCACAUUUUCACUUGUCCAUAGAAUCAACUUAAGUCCCAAAAGUACGACCAAAAGCGGGCCUAUUAAUUUCUCAAGCCAAAUUAGCCAUUCUCCGAUUUAAUUUGCUGAAAAACUCUGAUUACAUGAAAAAUCUUCCGAAGAUAAGUCAAUGAUCCUGAAAUGAUUUGUGAUACCCUAUGACUUCCAAUUUCUGAAUUCGAUCUCAAUUUCACGGUUAAUUUCACUUUGGCACGAUACUAGCGCGGCCCAACCUACCGAGUAGCCUUUAGAAAUUUUCAUGCAUUUGACCUGUGGUUGAUCAUCUCAAGCCACAAUGUACAUCUUUGAAACAUUGACGACUUUCGGUUGUCGGGGUAAUCUCAAGGUUUCAGAUACGGACACAGGGUACCCAAUCGACAGAAAAGUUGGUCUAGUGCCGAUCGACAAGAAUUGUGCGAUCUGGUGGAAUCACCCACACUUGAUCACAUGCCUCUGUCGAGUCGACCUAUCUCCGAUCUCUAAUCGAUUUUUAAUUGUGCCGUAAUGACCCUUGCAGAUUAGCUCGGUCGAAAGGUCGCUUCAUAGUCAAAUUCUCGAGUCUAAUGCAUUAGCAACUCUUAACGGCUUCACCCGAUAGACUAGUUUUCACAUGAGUGGCCGACUCAAGAAAAAGAACUAUAUGCGUGCCAACGAAAUGCCCGUCUCAAUUUAUUGAAAAUAUGAUUGGAAAAUCGGGAUGUCACAACUGUCUCAUCGACUCUUUAGUCUCCCAUGUCGCUCCUUCAGUACCGUGGCGAGUCAGGAUUGCUUUCGAGUUUGGGAUCCACUACUGAUCCACCCUUAGGAUCUGCUAUGCCCUUCCCAAGCGUAACCUCCAAAACAUACCGAGGUACAUUAGAUUCCAGCACAAGACCCUCCCUUCCCCCGUCACGAUAGUGACAAUACCAUAACCGGUACCUAUGAGGCACCUUUUUGGGUUCACCCAUGUUGACCUAGAUAGUGGAUUUUAUCAUUACAUACUCCAAUUCUUCAGGGUGAGGGUGUAUCGGAAUAUGAUAAUCUAUUUCUGUGGCUUUCUCUGGUAUACCAAAAUGCACGGGAUGAGGGGGAGGUGCUGCCAUCUAGGGACUCGAAAUAUUGUCCCACAACGGGGUGAGACUACGUCUCAGCAAGUUCUACCCCCUAAAACCCGAAUAGGAAGCCAAUACGCCCUAAAGGCUACCUAAGCACAAACAGGCAUCAGAGAACUUACCUUGGCCUCAGUUCAUUCCUGCAAGUCAGUUCAAUUCAUAAAUGUUGACUAGUACAUCAUUCACUUAAUUCAAUCAGAUCGACUCAUCAAUCAAUCGACUCCGUCGAUUACAUGUCAUCGAGACCAUCACACGGUCACCUCAAUUAAUCAUUCUCAACCCUUAGCCACGGCCUAAUAGGCACAACCUUGAUUAAGUGGUAAUCACGGCCCCACUGGCAACUUUUCUAUAUUUGGUGGUCAUCAAGGCCCCACCUAGCAAUUUUCUAGGUUUAGUGGCAUCACGGCCCCACUCGACACUUUUCCUAGGUUUAGUGGCAUCACGGCCCCACUUGGCAAUUUCUUAGAUUUAUACCCACAUGAUCUAAUUUUUGGUAUAAAUCCUCAUAAUCUCAAAUUUCACUCAGUUACCACAAUCCGGUACUCAAUUAAAUAAACAGAGAGCACCACAGCAAUCAGCACGGAAUUCCAAUCACUGGCCAAUGCUUUUCAUGGUCCCACCCAAAGUCACUUUGAUUUCUCAAGUCAUAUAUCUGAUUAUACACCUUUUUCAAGUUUUUCAUUUUCGAUUCUAUGUGAGGAUUACCCUUGAUGCCAGAACAAGGGAACUUUUCUUCAAACCACUUCUCUAACAUAAUCAUGUAACCACUCUUGAAGUCGUUAUUGGCUUUCAUUCCUCACGUAACAAAUUCUUCAAGACCAUCUAGAAAUGCAUUUUCUUCAUCUAUUGUCCAUACAUGUCGAUCUCUCUUUGUUCCCCUUCCUUGAGUUUGACUGAAAUCGCUACCUUCCAUUUCUAAAGGAAAUCCUAUCCAACCUUAUCCUACUCCCCCUCAGAUUUUUUUAUCCGGUUUAUAUCCCUUCUAUAUCCGACUUUAUCCUAUCCUAGAUAGCUACCAAACACGGGAUAGGAUAAAACAUAUCCUAUCCUGGUUUUUAUUCGGUCAACCAAACGCAGCUUAAGAAAUGAGGAAAUUAAUAGGAUUUUUCGUUCGGGAGGUUAUAGGCGAUCUUCGUGUAUAUUGAAAAAGGAGAUAAAAUAUUCCGCAAAGAUUACAUACUUGGACUAUAAAAGGAGCCGUGUAUGGAGAGAGACAAGGGGCUUUUCUUGGUUUCUUUUGGGGUCUUUCGUUUCCUUCGUUCUUAAAAGAAAAGAGCAACAAAAAUAAAAGAAAAGCUUUCUUUUGGGGUUCUUUUUAGGGAAAAGGGGAAAAGUCAGUAGAAGGGCAGAAGGCGACAGAGAGAAAGUGACGUGAGAUAGAGAUGUCCGAGAGUAGGAAAAAAGAAAAAAAGAGAAAAAAGUAAAAAGAUGAACAACUAUUCAUCUUCUUCGUCAGUUCCCAUCCGGUGUCCUUAUUGCCCGUCUCUUCCGCGCUGCCACGGCUGCCAUGCUGUUGCCUCACUACGGCCACACCAGCGCGCUUCCAAACGCCACCACCAUCGCUGGUUGCAACGCCGUGUCUGCUCGUCAUCACCGUUCCCCCCUGUUGCUAAGUCGAGUUUCCUUGCCCGAGCAUCAAUGCUAGCAACUCGAGAUCUCGUGACUUACUUGCUGCUUCAUCUCUAUCCUUGCUUUGCUUCGCUUGCAGUGACCUAACGCCUCCGCUCGGAUGCUUGUCCCCUGCGUCCACCAUCGCUCUUGUAGCCGGACUCAACGCCUGCAGCGCCUUCGAGCCGUGACGCUAGAACUGGACGCCAAGCCACUGCACGACCCAAUGCCAACCGCCCGCUGCUGCUGCCUCCACCCCUAACUGCAAUGCAGCAACUGCUGUACCUCUACUCGACGCCAGCAGUGUGGCAUCCCAAAAUUUAGAGCCAAGCCAUAAGGUGUGUUAAAGUCUUUAAUUAGGUGAUAAAAAUUUCCAUGGCUUAUGCUUUAGCCAUUAGUCUUUUAUUUAAAUGAUUUGUGCAUAUGGUUGUGAAAAUUUAAAAUUGAUAGAUUAAUAAUCUAUGCUUGGCCAUAAGAUUUAUAAAUUAAAUUUCAAUAGACAAGAUGUCCCAAGACUUUGGCCAAGAUGAAAAUUGAAGUUGAAAAAUAUUUAUAGAAGAAAUUCAAAAAAAAAAAAAAGAAGAGGAAAAAGGGUUAAUUUUAGGAGCCUAAGCUUAAUGGGCCAAGUUAGUCGGCCCAAUUAGGCCCACUAAAGGGGGCUGUCGCCGGCCCAUUGGAGGCCCAAGGAGAAGUGGCCGGAUGGCCCAAAAGCCCAAGCCCAAGAGGUCCAAACUCAAUUCAAAAUCCAAUGUGACAAGUGGCAAAAGGGAAGGCCAUGCAUUGGCCAUGGUUGAGGUGAAACAAUCAUUACAAAUGAUGAGCUCUAGGGGGUAUAAGAAGGGAGAGAGAGAGGGUGACUGGCCAUUUUGUUCGCCCAAGGAGAGAGAGAGAGAGAGAGAGAGAGAGAGAGGUGUGCGAGAGAGGAGGAGCGGCCGAGAGAGAAAGGAAGGAGGGAGUCGCCGUCGCCGCCGUGUCCGUCCGCCGUACGCCGUCGUUUGUUCAUCCUAGAGGCAAGUGGAGUCCUCUAGCUUCUCUUGCAUGCUUGUAUGAUUGUUUGCAUGUUGGAUUUUGGGUGUUUUAAGUAAGAAAAACCGAGGUAAUGUUGGCUUGUUCUUAAGUCGUGUGACUAUUCUUGCUCGGAUUGUGUGAGUCAGUAACUUGUUUGAGCUUGCAUGUGUGUUUGGAGUCCGAUUUUGGCUUCGAUGUCUUCAUGAAAGUUGUAGCUAACACCUUGUACUAUAAAAUAAUGAAAUUUCGUGGAAAAUGAAGGAGAUUUGAGGGGUUAAAGUCGCAUCUUACGGACACCUCAGAUCUGGAGAGUUUUUACUAACCUUUUGCUGGAUUCAUGGUUGCAUGUUGGUUUUUGUUGAGAAUAUUACUUCGAUGUCUUCAUGAAAGUUGUAGGGAACAUCUUAAACUACAACAUACUCAAAUUUGAAGUUAAAAGAACAAGUAUAGCUUGGUAAAUCGACUAGAUCUUGAAAACGAUGAUUCUGGUGAUGUAUUUCGAGACACCCGAGACUUAAAGGACUAAAAUGAGGACUAUAAUCUGGUUAUUUGACCUAGAUAUCUUCAUGAAACUUAUAAAGGACACCUUGAUACAUAACAUAUCCAAAUUUCAGAGGAAACUAAAGAGAAUAGAUGGGUGAAAUCUUAAUAUUUCGGAGAUGGAGGCACUGGACGAUGCGGUAAUGGAUCCAGAAGCUUCGUGAGGUUGAAUAAAAUAAUAUAUAAGUAAUCUGACUUGGAGUUCUUCAUGAAAGUUGUACGAAAAUGUCUUGGAUAUAAUCCAGUAAAAUUUUAUAAUUUUUGGAGGCCAUAUGGAUAUUUUAAUUUAAUUUAUUCGGAAACCGUGCAUUCUGGUUUCAUCCGAGAAGCAUAGGAUGUUUUGGGAAAAUUAUGAGAUUUUGUAAAAAUUCAAUUUGGCCAUGAAUUUUGCAAGUAAUUAUCAUCCUAUGGGUUUGUUUAAUAAUUUCUUGAACUUUAAUAAUUUUGGGAAUUUAUAGUUAUUUAAAAAUAUAUAUAAAUAAAAUAAUAAAAUAAAUAAAUAAAUAAAUAAAUAAAUAAAUAAAUAAAAUGAAUAAAAAGGAAUUAUUUCAUUGGCCAUAGAUUUCAUUCAAUUAAUUCAUGUUACAUGUAAAUAAGCCUUGAUAUGUCUAUGAUAUUGAAUUGAGAUGCACAUGUGAAUAAAGCCUUGAUAUGUCUAUGAUAUUGAAUUGAGAUGCACAUGUGAUAAAGCCUUUAUAUGUCUAUGAUAUUGAAUUGAGAUGCAUAUGUGAUAAAGUCUUGGCAUAUGUAUGACAAUUGAAUCAAUGCAUGUGUGAAUGUCAUGCAUAGUAUGAUUUAUUUGAUAUCAUGCUAUGUGCCAUGUUAAAAUGUGAAUAAAAUACUGGUGAACAUGGAUGAUGGUAAAUGAGGAGAUGGUUGUGAUGGCGGAUGAUGCUCGGAAUGUAUAGAGAUACAUUGCCGAAAUUCCCUGGGAGAUUCAAGAUGCCCGGAAUGUGGGGGGCCGGGAAGCCCUGUCGGAGGUCUUUGCCCGAAGGGAAAUGCCUCGCGAUGCCAGGAUUGGNNNNNNNNNNNNNNNNNNNNNNNNNNNNNNNNNNNNNNNNNNNNNNNNNNNNNNNNNNNNNNNNNNNNNNNNNNNNNNNNNNNNNNNNNNNNNNNNNNNNNNNNNNNNNNNNNNNNNNNNNNNNNNNNNNNNNNNNNNNNNNNNNNNNNNNNNNNNNNNNNNNNNNNNNNNNNNNNNNNNNNNNNNNNNNNNNNNNNNNNNNNNNNNNNNNNNNNNNNNNNNNNNNNNNNNNNNNNNNNNNNNNNNNNNNNNNNNNNNNNNNNNNNNNNNNNNNNNNNNNNNNNNNNNNNNNNNNNNNNNNNNNNNNNNNNNNNNNNNNNNNNNNNNNNNNNNNNNNNNNNNNNNNNNNNNNNNNNNNNNNNNNNNNNNNNNNNNNNNNNNNNNNNNNNNNNNNNNNNNNNNNNNNNNNNNNNNNNNNNNNNNNNNNNNNNNNNNNNNNNNNNNNNNNNNNNNNNNNNNNNNNNNNNNNNNNNNNNNNNNNNNNNNNNNNNNNNNNNNNNNNNNNNNNNNNNNNNNNNNNNNNNNNNNNNNNNNNNNNNNNNNNNNNNNNNNNNNNNNNNNNNNNNNNNNNNNNNNNNNNNNNNNNNNNNNNNNNNNNNNNNNNNNNNNNNNNNNNNNNNNNNNNNNNNNNNNNNNNNNNNNNNNNNNNNNNNNNNNNNNNNNNNNNNNNNNNNNNNNNNNNNNNNNNNNNNNNNNNNNNNNNNNNNNNNNNNNNNNNNNNNNNNNNNNNNNNNNNNNNNNNNNNNNNNNNNNNNNNNNNNNNNNNNNNNNNNNNNNNNNNNNNNNNNNNNNNNNNNNNNNNNNNNNNNNNNNNNNNNNNNNNNNNNNNNNNNNNNNNNNNNNNNNNNNNNNNNNNNNNNNNNNNNNNNNNNNNNNNNNNNNNNNNNNNNNNNNNNNNNNNNNNNNNNNNNNNNNNNNNNNNNNNNNNNNNNNNNNNNNNNNNNNNNNNNNNNNNNNNNNNNNNNNNNNNNNNNNNNNNNNCCCAUGGGAGAAGCUCGUCUGAUGAUGAUGAUGAUGAUGAUGAUGAUGAUGAUGAUAUGAUAUGCAUGAUGAUAUGCAUGAUGAUGAUAAUGAUAUGUGAUUGAAAUAACGAUGAUCACCCAUGAUGAUAUGAUAUGCAUGAUGAUAUGCAUGAUGACGAUGAUGAUGAUGAUAUGCACGAUGGUAUAUGAUGACAUGUGUAAUGUGAUGAUGUCAUGAUGAUGAUGACAUGUAUGAUACGAUGAUGAUACACAUGUAUGUGUUAUAAAUUGAUAUGAUGAUGCAUGAUAAUAUGCGCAUGGCUUCAAGGUAAAUUACGCCUACAAUGCAUGUAUGAUUUGCCUGAUGCAUUGAGUUGUUAUUGGAUUUCCCUAUUUGCUGAGUGGUUGUACUCACCCUUUUUAGGGAUAACAUUUCAGAUUAGCGAGUAUGCCGCUUCCUACCGUCACGCGAGGUACAUUUUACGGGUUAUCGUCCGACGUUGAGGUAGAGUGUGAGGAGUUCGGCUGUCCUUCCGUGCCUGGACUCACCUACAUUCGCGUACGCUGUCUUGUCAUGUAUGACAUAGGCCUGGCUGGGGGCCCAGUCGUUCAUGAGUUUGUUUCUGUUCACGUUCGCCGCGAUGGGGUGAUGGGAGGGAUGCUGCCACCGCCACCGCCUGACGCAUCGGACUGGGUGUGAGACCUGAGCGUGACGAGUAGGGGCUGUGUUUUUUUGGGAGUUAGUUAGCCGACACUUAUGAUGGGGGGGAUUGUACACGUGUGAUGUAGAGGGUCGAGGGUUCUUUUUGAGGUUUUAGGCUGGACAUGGCUGAGUCCUAGCUUUUCCUUUUGAUGUACCGACCCAAGAGUAGUCCCAUCCUGAAAAUAUAUGUAAAUAAAGUGUCGUGGCAUGUUUAUAAAAAUCCUGAUGUUUAGUGGUGUGUAUUUAUAUCAUGGUUGAUAGGGGGAGAGACGUGAUAUUUAAUUUGCUUCCGCUAAUGAGUCGCGCUGGGACCGUUUUGUUAUAAAAAAAAAAUGUGUCUAUGAAUUACGAUGCAUCUUCUAAGGAGAAAGGUAAUAAGGAGUAACAUUGGCGCUGGUGACGACCUACGAAGGGUUCGGGGUGUCACAAGCAGGUCCUGAACUGAAUGUUGGCCCCCUUGCACACCGCUCCGAGCCCUCUCCGAGCGACGCCACUGCAAUAUCCGUGACUCCGAUCGCCCUUGUUGCCAUGUCCAAUGACCACGCCUACAGCACCUCAGAGUGAUGUCUGUAGCAACUCUCCGCCGAUCCUCACUGGAGCUCCAACGACCCACCAUCACGGCAACCCAUCCUUGAGCCAUACCGAGCCCCGUCGCAAUCCACGAGCCACCGGUUGUUAAAUCUCGUUUGGAAGAAAAUUCAAAUUAGGUAGUUUUUUAUUUUAUGUUAUUUAUUUAUUUUAUUAUAUUAUUUCUUUAUCCGAAGUAUUCCUUAAUGUAUCCAAUUGAAAUCCUUGACUGAUAUUCACAAUUCGAGCAACCUUUUAAAUUAGGGAUUGACAGUCCCAUUUCCGCACCUCAAAUCUGACUUGCAAUCGCAUGAAAAAUCGCUAAUCAAAUCUCACGCUCGAGAUUCGAUUCGCCAUUUUAUUUAAAAUUGACCAAUCCGAUCCCAUGUACGGGAUAUGAUUCGUCAAUCUAUGGAUAUCGAUCUUAUCUUGCCGAUUGAUGUCAUGUCAUUUGAUCGAUUUUGUUUUCGUAAAAGAAAAUCCAAAAAUUUUGAGUUAGAUUAGGUUUGUCGUUUUAGGGUUAUUUUGCAUAGGGAAUUUAUUUAUUUCGAUUUUUUGAAAAAAUAAAAAUCCAAAAAAAUGCAUUCACUUAGGAUGUUAGUUUUUUUUUUUUUUAAAUUGCACGUUUAAUUAUGUGUCAAUUUUAAUUUCGAAUUUCAUAGAAAAACAAAAAGAAAAAAAUUAGAAUUAGGGCAUUCUUUGCACGUCAUUGCAUAUUAGGAUAAGAUUGCAUGUUUAAUUUUUAAGUUUAGAUAUUUUUUCCUCGAUAGAUUGCAUUUUAGGUUAGAGAUGACAUCCUAGUUUAAAUUAAGAUUUGACCUAACCUAAAUCUUAAUAUAAGUUGGAUGAUAUCUUAAUUUGGAUAGAUAAUUUUUUCAAUUUUCUAAUUUUGAAUUUCAUGGAAAAUACCAAAAAAAUUGUCUUUGAAUAAAUUAAUUUCAUUCUCUAGGAUAGGUCACAUGCUCAUUAAGAAAACACAAAAUAUUUCACUUACGUCAUAUAUUUUAGGUCAUAUUGCCAUGUUGUAUCAUUUCAUGUUGGAUUAGUAACAUUGCAUUGCAUAAUACAUGAUUCUCAUUAAAUAAGUGAGUGUGUGUUAAUUAGAAAUCAUAUCUAGGACUGUUGAUGUGAAUUCUGAUCUAACAUCGCAGAUGCUUUCGAUACCAUGGGGUAAGUCCUACAAUUUAUUCACCGUGCUAUUUGGGUGUUAAAUUGGUGAUUUGCACACCCGCGUGAUAACUUCACAUAUUAGGGAAGUAAAUUAAAAUCAAUUCAAGCUACUUGCCAAACAUUUUUUUUCAAAAUAAAAGAGAAAAAUACCGAAAGGGCGUUAAAAAAAUCUAGCGUAAUUAAGUCCCCGAACUCAUAAAUCUCUGGUUCGUAAGAGUAAAGUAAAUCUCCCAUUACUUUACUUAUGUUUCUAAUCGACCCACCAAAAAUAAAUUAAUAGCGAUUCCUAAUUGAAUAAUCAUUUGCAUGUUAAGAACUCAAACCUAAGUCGUGAAUUGAUAUGGGCUUGGGAGAACCUGAGCUAAGUUUAGGCUUAGUAUUCCAUUAGCCAAACUCUAGGUGGUUCACCCCGAGGUCAGGUCACGACAGUUCCUCGAGGGGAAGGGGGGACAUUUUCCACUGCUAUCUUCCAUAAACGAAGCUCCAAAGCGUGAAUCCAACAACAAAGCCAUAUGGUAACUGUGAAUAUAUCUAAUAUGCACGUUUGAGUAAUAGGUAAUAUUCAUUAGGAUUUGUUUCCUCAUCCACAACCGAACAUUGAUUUUUUUGUUGCUUUUGACGGAAUAAUUAAUCGCACAGGAGUCUUAAAAAGUGAUGUUUUGAUCUUUAAGGAUUGAGAUCAACUUAUCGAUUUUAUCUGUGAAAUAAUCAAGUUGAUUAAAUAUUGUCCUAAUUUGAAAUGUGGAUGAUAUCUUUAGCGAUUUGAUGAUAUUUUGUGAUUUAGGUGAUUAUAUUACUUUAUCUACUUUCCUUACCCUGAUAAAUACAAAAGGAUUGCUUUGCAUAUUGUAACAUCCUCAACUUCGAGCCUUUUACAUGGUAAAAGAGAAGUCCGAACUUGGUUUCAUUAGUUGAGCUCGGUUGUGUCUGCUUCCUCUUAUCGUGUCUUAGGCACGAAUCUUGGGCCAAAUGAGAUAGUCGAUUGUGGUCAAACUUGAUUAGUCCCUGCCUAAUGAUAAAGCCUUCAAAACUGAGAUAUUCCAAGUUGUAUUUAAUGCCCUCAUCUUGUAGUUAAUUAAGGAGCAUCGACUAAGAUGGACAUGUGGCACAUUAGGCCUUAGCCUCAUAAGACAAGUAUGAAGCUUGGACUAGUCAAACUUUCUUAGAAAAACAAGUGUAACAAAUGUGAAUUCAUGUGAACGUAUUAAAUGAUGGGGUGCAAAGGAUGUCCCUAUAGCCUAGGCCUAAUCAUACCCUAAAUACCUAAGUGUGAAUUGUGGACUUUGGAGCCCAUGAGGAAACAAUCACGCACCCAAGAGGAAAAGAGAGAGGAGGCAAGUCAAGUUCAAACUUCGAACUCAAGAUAAGUUCACAUUAAUAUCUCUUGGAAUUUAGCCAUUCAAUGAGCAAGAUGAAGUGUCAAAGCUAUCCUAGGACCUAGUUGGAAACUUGGAGGAUAAGGAUGUCCAAUAAUUAAUGCUUCUUGACCAAGUAGGGCGCCCCCUCUGUCCAAUUAGAUAUACAACCCAAAGAAAAAAAAAUUGUAUGUAAUUGUGUUAAUUAGAAACAUAUAUCUAGGUUGAAUUUGUGAUUAUUCUAAUUAACAUUACAGAUGCUCCCGUUGCUUUAAAGUAAGUACUUCUUUUAUAUCUUUGCAAUUUGUUUGUUGUUUUGAUUGUCGGGUUUUUCAUUAAGGGUUGCGCACCCGUAUAAUCACUUCACAUGUCUUUAAUCUGCCUAUCAAACUUUUGAAUGAAAGAGAAAGGUAUUGAAAGAGCGUUAGAGUAACCUAGCCCAAGUCAUCAAAUUCGUAAUCGCUGGUUCGUAGAAGUAAAUCAAUUCUCUCAUACUUGGGUAUCUAAUUGACACACAAAAAACCGACUCGUGGUGAUUCCUUGACAAAAAUCAUUUGCAUGUUAAAUCACUUGAACCUAAGUUGCAAAUUGAUAUAGGGCUAGGAGAGCUCGAGUUAAGUAUAGGCUUAAUAAUCCAUUAGUUAAAUCCCUAAUUGAAGCACUUGAGGUAAGGUCAUGACAAAUGGUCGUAAUUAAGUUCUAACACUAAAAUCUCCAAUAUUCAAUUAGAUUAGGCAGGUUUGAUAGGACUGGUCAUUUAUACUUAAGAAGAUUUUACUUAAUUUAAAACUCAGUUUGAAUAUUCAGUAAAGAAGGGAUCACCUAAUUGGUUCAAUGUAAAAAAACAACGAGAGAAAUUAAAAAUCUUCCAAUUUAUGUGAGUAAAAUAUUUUAUUACUUUAAUAUUGCUCAGUUGUCUAUCUUCAACAAGAAACUAAUGACUGCUAAGGUUCUUCAAUUUUCAAAUAUUACCACACAGAAUUUUCAUUUCAUUUUCAGCCUUAAAGAAUCAUGUGCCAAGUGACAUGGGAGUAAUGUGAUAUGAUAAUUUCGUUGAAAAUUUCAUCGAAAAUAAAAACCGAGUAAAGGUCAAUAAAAAUCUGAGAAAACUGUUUCAAACCCUCUUUAGUUUUUUAAAUAUAUUUUGAACGUACGAAGUCCAAAAAAUCUGAAAUUAAAGUAUGUUAUAGAACAAAGUAUAAUGAGAAACUUUUUUUGAAGAAUCCCUCACAAAACUCAUACCACAAAAAACGAGUAUAAAAUUGGAAAAAGUACAAUCUACAGUAAACCGAAACAAAAAUAGCAGUAUCCUCGGUUUUGUCCUUGACUUGUGCCAUUUAAGCUCAAAGCAACAUAAAUCUCAACAUUUAGUACUUCAACAACUUAGUGAACUCAAUAAACCAUCAUUUCAACAAUGCUCGCGAUGGACGUUUGCUGAAAUCGCCAACUAACAUGACUAUGUACGAAAUCAACCAAGACGACUAAAAUCUGAGGAAUCAACCUUCGCGCAUGGCAAUCAACCUACGUAACAUAAAAAGGAAGGCAAAUUACUUGCCCGAGUCCUAGGUGAGUGUCAUUGCGGUUUGGUGAGGUCUCGGAAGUUUGAGGCUGUGGCUGGCAUUGUGUGUAUUUGACAUUGAACGAGUGAAAGAAAGAACGACAAUUCAUGGUUGAAUCAGCAUACAAAACCACAUCAAAAUCAAAUGGUUAUGACGACAAAGAAAGAGUUGAAGCUCUAAUUUCACUUUUGGGUGAAAAAACUAGAGAUACUUGCCCUUCUUUGUCAUGAGUCUAUUAAGUUUACAUCAAAUGUCGAAUCUACACAAGAUGCAAUUGCGGAAAAUCUCCUCUCGUCUUCUUACGAAUCUGACCUUUGUUUAAAAACUCGAGGUUGGAAGAUCAUUAUAAUGGUAAAGGUUUUGAUGAAUUCAUCUGCGAAGUGCAUUUGAACGUUACUAUAUCCAUCAGACGAUUUCUUUUGGGGAUCAUGUUAUUCAGGUGAUUAACCAAACAAGAAAGAGAUCCUAGAAUAGUAAGGUUUCAUAUUUCACUACUUUGAUAAGUCACCAAUCUACUAACUAUCCCAUCAAAUAAGUCGAAGAUUCGUUAGACUACGAAACCUCAUUUUGCCGUGAUGUGAUAUAUUUCCGAUGUGAAUAAAAAAGUACCAAAUGAAUGAUUGAGUAUUCCUUCAGCUGUUGAGAUAUAUCAUUGUGUAUGAAAGAUGCCCAAUGGGUUCAAGGCAUAACAUCGGUAAUGCUAUGUAAGCUUUUGUUUACCAAGGGUUUGAAUCCCUCUAUUUACACACCUUGAAGUAAUUUACCAUUGAUACUAAUCACAAUGUAUCAAAGAAAAGCACAUACCCUAAUUCCAAAGGUUAAAACUUUCUUUGAUAUGUAUCCCCUAUUUCCAAGUCCCCAAUCGAAAAUUCUAGCUCGAAGAAAUAAAAUAACCUGGUGCAAUUUAAUUUUCCUUAAAUUGACCUCUUAUGGGUUAGUCGCAACUUAUGAAUAAAAUCUUAUGUUCAUGAUUGACUGGGGAACGAUUGUGAUUUAUAGGGCUCGGGUGAAUCGUAGCCAAGCAUAAGCAUCAUCUUGCAAGAGAAAUCGUUCAUAUUCCCAUGGCCAUAUGUUAACUCAUAUCAUGAGAACAUUUGGCAUUUUGCCCAUGGUAAGGGUCGUGAUAAUUGUACUUCCCCUAUAAUAGAUGCAAAUCAAGCAAUCACGAGAUAAUUAGUUUUUUUUAUUUUUUUUAUGGAUCUCGAGUAAUUUUUCAUGUAGAAAAAACAAAGAAGUAAAUUUAAACGCAAUUUCGUCCUUUUAAGGAUUAGUAAUUCUGGUCAAUGAUUUGGGAACACCAUAUGGUUUUUUUAUGGAAUCAAUUUUCGGAAAUUUUGAAUGCAAAUAAAAUUUCUCUGUUUUUUUUUUUUUUUUGUGUGUUUGGUGCUCUUUUUUUUUUUGUUGGGUGGGGGGGGGGGGUGAUUUACAUAAUCCAACGAUGGUCUGUGCUCGUUAGAAAACGAACGGUGCAGAUGUGCCGAGCACGACGAUCGAGGGGCACUCUCGGUUUCUAGGGUUUUCUAUACCUAUAUUGCGGUUUCUUCCUCCUCUCUAUCUUCCCUCUUCCUUAUUUCCUCUCGCCGUAUCCCACCUCUCCAAAUUUCCAUGCGAACGAGAUCGAGAUCGAGGGAGAAGAACUCGAGCGGGCAGUUGAAGCCGGGCCAUGGGAGUUUUGCUGUAACCGGAGUCGAGGGCGUGUGACCAGGGGCUGAAGGAACAUAUCGACGCCAGAGAUUAGCAACUGGACCGGAACUUCAGUCCUCCUCAUUGUACGUUGUCUUUUGCCCUCGUUAUGCAAUUGCAUGCCUGUCUGAAUUUUCUGUUGCAACUCGUGACGCUCUAUUAUAGGAUUUUUCUACUUAAAUUUCCAGAUCUUCUAUAUCUGUAAGAAACAUAAGACACUUAAAUCGUUUAAUCGGCCAAAUAUGGAACAGAAAAUAAGCAAUAAUCAUGUCUGGUCUUGUUUCUGGAGCUUUUUCCCGCAAGGCGUUCUCUAUCAAAUAAGAUGAUUAACGUUCCCGUUGAGCAAAGAGCGAAGAUUUUUAUUGGUUUAUCGACGCCAAGCUACAUAAUUGGCUUGACUGAUGGCUUCCACUUCAAUCGUUCUCAACUCCAACUGGGGUUGAAAGCCUUUGGUCAAGCCAAGCCAUACUAGAUGCGGGCAAACUGGAUAGUUUACCGUCCAUCGUUACAAUUGAUUGGCAUUAAUAGAAAUCAAGCAAAUUGAAGAACUUGAGGGUGCAGCUGAGCCGGGGCCACGAAAUAAUGUUGAGAGAGAAUCUUAGAUGUAGCAGCAAAUUAUGUGAUGUUAGGAGUUUGGAAACUUCCAAAUAAUCAAAUUGGACAAUUACGUUGGGUUUUGGUAAGCUUGACUUAAAAUUUCACUUUUCAUGCUCACUUCACCAUCUUUUAUCCUUACAAAUCUCCAAUUCCGUGUCCCUUUUUUUCAUUAUGAAUCUAUGAUUUCACAUAUAGGUUCAUAUAGGCUGAAAUUUUGAGUUGGUAGAACAAUUUGCUGCAUCCGAGUCAUUCGCAGAAAAACUAAGCCGGGCUUGUGUAUAAGAAGCAAACGACAGAACAAUAGUUUUUAAUCUGAAGAGCAAAAUUUGAGGAUUGUUUCCUGUCUUUUCAAAAGAAGUUCCCAGGGUCUUGCUUGUUGGUACCCAGUCACUUGAAACAUAUCUGUUCACUCUUCUGUGAGUUACAGGCGAAAUGCCGAGUGCGACAUUUAAAUUGUGGGAGCUUGUUGAGUUUCCGCCUAAUAAAUUGUUGUUGAUUUGUCUGACAUGCCAUGCCCACUGAAUAACCCAAUGCAGAGGAUUUUUCUAACAUGCCACGCCCACUGAAUGCAGAAGAGGAAGAACCCAAUACAGAGGUUCCCCAAGGUAUGUGUAUCUCCCAAUUCCCCUUUUGUAAAAGCUCGUGCAGGAUGCUUAAUUUGUCUUCUAAUCUUCACCUAAUAAUAGGGGUAUAGGCAGGACCUCAGAUUUCUGAUAGUUAUAGAAAAACACAAAAUAAACAUGAAUAGGAAGAGAGGAGCUUAGGAGUCGGUCAUUGACGAUUAAUAGAUCUUUGAAAAUGGUCAGAACGAUACUCCUAAGUGUGAAAUUUAAAUUUUGAAAAGCAAUGGCUCUCUAUCCCCUUAGAUCACCUACAUAAAGAGCAUUUGCUUUCUUAAAACAGAAGCAAUUUAUGGUUUUCAAUCUGAAGAGCACAGUUUGAAAUCUGUCUCCCUUGUAUUUUAUAUAAGAAAGCCUCCAUCCGUUUACCCUUUCGUGGGAUGCAGGGGAAAUGCCGAGAGCAUUGGAUCCACUUUCAGUUGUUGAGGUUCUGCCUAAUAACAAGCGGAAGUGUAACUUCUGCGAGAAUGAGUACGUUGGAGACACGAAGAGGAUCAAGGCGCAGUUUGCUGGGGUAGGAGGAUGUGGAAUUCUUGGCUGUAAGGUCUUCAAUGACCGAGUGAGAUCAGAAGCACCAGAGGUGCUGAAGGGUGAAAGAGCAGUGGAAUCGAGCAAGAGACAAGGCAAUGAUGAAGGUUCAUCCAACCUCACACAGAGUUCGCAUCAGUCCUUGACUGUGGGCAGUGAAGUUGCUCGGUGUAAGACUUCAUUUGUUGCCAUGCCGUACCUGAGCUAUGGUGCAGGUUCGUCAGCCUUUCUUCCAUCGGCUGAGACGAAUUUUCCCAAUCAGUCUGGUUCUGCUUUAACCAACAUACCACGCCCGCUGAAUGCCAAAGAGGGAGAACUCAAUACAGAGGUUCCACAUGGUAUGUGUGCAUCUCUAAAUUUCAUCUCUAAAUUUGGCAUACGUUGAAGCUUGUGCAGGCCGCCUUAUUUGUCUUCUAAUCUUCACCUAAGAAAAGUGAUACAGGUAUAGAGAAACUGAAAAUGGUCAGGAAUUAAUAGGACAAGAGGAGUUUUAGAGUCGGUCAUUGAUAAUCACUAGAUCUUUGAAAACGAAAAGACAAAUGUUUUGAAGUGUGGCCUUCAAAUCUUGAAAAGCCAUGGCUCUCCCUGUCCCCUCCGAUCUGCUACAUGAGCAUUGGCUUAUAUGGUUAAAUUAUUUAUCAAAGAUAAUUCCCAUGACUUUUAAUUUUAAAUCAAUUCUUUUCCAAUGAAGAGCUCAUGAUAUGGAGUCGCCAGUAUUUCACUAUCGUGACAUCAAUGCCUACAAUACAUAAUAAUUAUCGUAUCGAAUGUUGCAUGUAAUAUUUUUGUUCGAAAAAGUGAAUACAAAGUUACAAUUUUUUAUUUCCAUGAGUGUAACAUACCAAUAAAGAAUAUCUAAGGAGUACCCAAUAGUGAAUUUUCACUUAUAAUUGUGUUUAGGUGCGAGACCGCAUCUUGGACUGGCUAAGAGUCAACGAGGUACCCGUGGGCUUGCCGACGCGAAUAUGAUGUCUCUCAAAAGAAAGCUGGAAGAACUCAUCAGCAGUCGCCAAGCAGACAUGAACAAGCUAAAGUCGAAGUGGAUGAGGAUAGAAGAGCAAUAUUGGAGUGUAGCGCGGGCAAUUAGAGAAGGAAUAUCUUUUCCACCGGAGAAAGUAGUAGAGGUGGAAGGGUUGAGAAAAGAAGUUGAACAGAUUCUUCUGGUUCCAGGAAGAUUUCGGCAAGAGGCGAUGGCACUUGCUAGAUUUAGCAAACCAUCUCCCUCGGUGACAAUAGAAAAAUUAUUAGGCAAAGAAACUCGACGGAAGGUGAAUGAGAUGUUUUUCACUAUAUUGCGGAAUGAGUCUUUCAUACUCGGUGUUUAUGGUAUGGGUGGAGUGGGCAAGACGGCCAUUUUGAAGCAUGUCUAUAUUAGUCUACUUGCUUAUCUUCCGUCAUAUGUAUUCUGGAUUGCUGUACCUCAGGAUUAUAGUGUUUAUGCGCUACAAGAAGAGAUUGCCAAUGCGGUUGGACUAGACA
rnacentral:lncRNA from 1 species